GAGGUGGAAAAAAAAAAGUAAAAGUAAUUAAAUUCACCAAUCAGAAAUAAAGAUAAAAACAUUAAGACCAAUGAGAUUAAAAUGGAACACAAAACUGGUGUUCCGGGUACAAAGAAAAAAAAUCCCCGGUGCAUCGCGCGGGUUCACGCACUAGUAAACCCUAAACCCUUGAAGAAAAGAGAAAGCUAAACCUAACCGUGGCCGCCAGUAACAGCUCCGUUUCUCGGCUGAGUAACGACGAAGUAGGCUUAAUUCUAAACUCCGUCACCAACUCAGAUGAUAGAAAAGCCUUCUUCAAGGUCUGCAAGCAAUGGUGUAGAGCAGAGGGUCUAAACCGAACAUCCAUUCGUCUUCUCCAACUCGAUUAUCUCCGGCGUGUACUUCCCAGAUUCCCGAACUUAGUGACAUUCGAAACAUCCAAAUGUAUCACGCGAAACGACCUCGAAUUCUUGGCCCAAACAUGUCCCAAAAUCGAAACCAUCGACCUUGGAAAAUACCUUGGAAAAUCCAUAGAUGAUGUAACAACAGAACCUAGCCAUUCUCAGAUCGAAGUUCUGUAUGCUCUGGCACAUAGCUUCCCGAAAUUGUCUAAGCUUUCUUUGAGAAGAAAUAGACACUACAGUGGGGAAGGUAUUACUCAACUCAUAAAAGAGCUAGUACAAAACAAGUUGAGGCAUUUGGAUUUAGGGUAUUGCUGUGUGUUAGAUGAAACCCUUGAAGCGAUUGGGUCGUUGGGUUGUCUUAGCUAUUUGAAUCUGGAUGGGUGUGACAGGAUCACAGAUCAGGGUUUAGGGUUUCUGGCAUAUGGGUCUUGCUCAAAAACCUUAAAGACAUUGGUGCUUACUGGGUGCAGAGGGAUCACCGAUUCUGGUGCCGAUCCUUUGCAUAAGAUGGCUUUCUUGGAAGAGCUGUAUUUGGAUGGGGAGACCGGGUUCAGUUUGGAUGGACUUCGAGCAGUCUGGAUGAUGUAAACACUGAAGAAACUGAACUUGGGUUUGCUUACUGCGUGGGGAGAUGACCGUUCGGCAUGUAGAGAGGUUAAUAAGCCUAGUGUAUUACGGUUUCAAGUGGGUAGUUUAGUGAUCGAGGCUCGAAGCAAGUGGGUACCAGUUACGAUUGAAGAUUCCUUUGAUCUCUACAACCUUGAAUUUUAGCUAUCAGUUUGUUAUCAUCAGUUUCUUCAAUUCCAAACUUAGAUAUAUCUGGCUAAGUUUUGUUCUCGUAGUUACAUUUCCAUGGAUACGGAGGCUUUCAAUCGUUAUGACUUUUGAGUAUGUGAUGAGAACUAUGCCUUACAUGCUUGCAAUGAAAUUGACUUAGACAUUUGAACGAUCCUUGACUAACUUUAUGCCCUUCAUGAAACAGAUAUGCUUAAAUUAAUCCCUACUCCUCUCGCACAACCUCGUUUUCACAAUUUAGACUGCUCAAAAGUGUAAAAAAUAUAAUCAACACAAAACAGAAGAAGAUGUGCGGUUUGUUAAGAAAAAGAAGGAAAAGUGCCAAAUAUAACUUGACCAAAGACAACAACAGAUAUCUAGAUUCAGAGAGCGGAAUAUCUUGGCUAAAAGCCUAAAACUAAUUUUCUUACUGUUAGAGGCCUUUAUACCUAAGUACGUUUCAUGUUAACAUGUGACGAUAACAGAUUAAUAGAAAUACAAGAAAUUUUAUGUUAACAUCAAAAUUAUCCCUUGCUUUUAAAUGUGCAACACCAUGAUACUUCCUGUAUGUGUCCUUGUUGGCCGGACGUACAGUGGUCGCGUCUCUCCGUCAAGGAACUUGGUUUUUCCGGCUCCAAUUUGUGGCCUGUGGAGGAGGCCCAAAUAAGAAGAUGCCCAACAACAAAUGUCGGCCCAAGUCCAAUACAUUUCAAGACUUACCCCAAACCAUGGAUCACGUCUGAGCCCAAGUCAAAAAAGAAAAAAGAAAAAUAUCCCCGGUAUUUUCUGGCGCCAAUUCGUCAUCCCAAUCCCGUUCGCGACGUGUUUGGUCCAGAAAGCUCCACGUGGCAACACAACAAUAAGAUUCACACUCACGGACUGUGUGACCUUCAAGCCUCUUCUUCUUCUUCCUUCUUCAAUUCAAUGGCUCUCAGACCUCACACGGUGACGUCAGCACCGACCUUCCAUUCCCGCCAAUUCCUCCACAGGCCCACAUUCCCGCCCAGAACUACUCUUCGCUUCCGAAACUCUUCGUCGACGCGAGCGAACUCCCUCACCGCCGAACAAGUCUCGUUCACGGGGGAAGAGAACUCCCUCGUCGAAGCCCUCAUCGGAAUCCAAGGCCGCGGCCGCUCCGCCUCUCCUCAGCAACUUAAUGUAAUCACCAAACCAAAACGCCGCCGUUUCGGCCAUAUUUUCAUCUUCUCAUAAAUUUCUUUAAAGGAUUAAACUUUAAUUUUUAUAUUAUUUUAUUAAUUUCAGGAGGUUGAGAGCGCUGUGAAGGUUCUUGAAGCUCUGAAAGGAGUUCCUGAGCCGGUUUAGGUUUUUUUUUUUUUUUUUUUUUUUGUAUAUUGAAUUGUCAGAUUCUGUGAAAACGAUGCCGUUUUGGUUUGGUGGUGUAAUGUAAUAUGUAGGUGUUGAUAAUUGCAGACAAGCUCGAGUUUGAUUGAAGGGAGGUGGCAAUUGAUGUUUACUACAAGACCUGGAACCGCCUCUCCAAUCCAAGUAUGAUCUUCCAAAUAUAACUUCUAGUUUUUCGUUUUUGUUUUCAAAUGUUUUUUGUCGAAAAUUGGAUCGAAUUUUGUUCAUCAAUACGUGCAAUGUGUUAUGUGUGUGUAACGAUAUGGAUGUUUGUAAUGGACACCGAGAUUAAAAACAGUACUUUUUCAUGUGAACUGAUCUCUAGGUGAUCAAAAUUUAGGUUAUGUAAGUAAAUACUUAGUUUUUGCGUUAGGGUGAUGUUUGCUUGAUGCUUAAGUUAUUUGCAGAGAACAUUUGUGGGGGUGGACUUCUUUAGUGUAUUUCAAGAGGUUUAUCUUCAGACAAAGGAUCAGCGUGUGUCGAAUAUUGUAAAGUUCUCUGAUGCAAUAGGUGAGCUGAAAGUAGAGGUAUGAGUUUGCUGUUCCCAACUGCUAAAUACUUUUCAUUUGGGUUUUAUAAAAAAGAUAAUUGGUUUUUCUACUUACUUGGGUUUUGGUUUUGUUCUUGGACAGGCAGAAGCAUCAAUCAAAGAUGGAAAACGAAUACUUUUUCGAUUUGACAAAGCGGCAUUUUCGUUUAAAUUUUUACCAUUCAAGGUCCCAUAUCCAGUGCCAUUCAGACUUCUUGGGGAUGAGGCAAAGGGUUGGUUGGAUACCACAUAUCUGUCCGAAUCUGGCAAUCUUCGUAUAUCGAGAGGAAAUAAGGUAAUAGGGACUUGAUUAUCUAGCAACCUCCGUAUUCUGACUCUUUUUACUGCUUUAUUUUAUCUAAGCAUACAGUGGUGGUUAAUUACUUAAGACGAAAAGUGAGUUGUUCCUAGCUAAGGAUGUCGACAAAUAACUUUGUAGUGCAGGGAACAACAUUUGUGCUGCAAAAGAAAGCUGAACCUAGGCAAAGACUAUUGUCAGUCAUCUCGACUGGUACAGCAGUUAAGGAGGUGAUAUUUGUGAAUUCAAAUGUUUACUUUGUAUGUCAAAGCAACUUUUCUUUGCUGAUAUCGUUUCUGGCGACCCUGUUAUUGCUGCAGGCAAUUGAGGAGUUUAUCUCCUUAAAUCAAAAUGUAGGUGAAUCAGAACUCCAGGAGGGAGAAUGGAAAAUGGUUUGGAGCUCACAGGUAAUCCAAUAAUAUAUAGUCUUUGAUCUAUCCACUAAGUAAUAGAGGAAGAUAGAGAUUACCAAUAUCUCUUGACCAGAAAGUCUGUAACAGGCAGUGAGAAACCUAAGUUUGUACUUUUCAAGAUUCUGAGACCUGUACUUAGCUUAUCAUGUGAUGAAUUAUUCUUGAAUUAGUGAGAAACCAUACUUGUUCCUUUUGUAUGUGGCAGGAAGAGACAGAUAGUUGGCUUGAGAAUGCUGCCAAUGGUCUUAUGGGCACACAAGUAAGCAAAACCUUGCAGCUGCUAUGGUUUUCAACAGAUUUUGUGUUUCAACUUGCUUUCUAUAUUUAAAAUCUGAAUGUAAUUAUUUCGGUUACAUACUUUCUCAAAUUUUUAAUGCUUUGAUUAUAGAUUGUCAAGGGAAAUGAACAAAUAAAGUUUGUGGUUGACGCGUUCCUUGGGCUCAAAUUCUCCAUAUCUGGAACUCUUGUGUAAGUUUUUUGGUUACUUGCAAUAGUAGCAUUGUGUAAUGUCUGCCGUAUAUCUGUCAAACUUGCACAGAUAGGAGACUUGCAAUGAUACAUUUUUUUUUUCUUCAUAUUUUGUACAAGUGCAGAAAGUCUGGCUCCCGCACUUAUGAUGUUACAAUGGACGAUGCAGCCAUCAUUGGCGGUGGCUUUGGAUAUCCCCUAGAAGAGCUAGGAAGCAAGUUUGAACUAGAACUGCUGUAAGAUAUCUCCUCCAGCAUACAUACAAGUAUAUACAAGAUCUUGAUUUGCUGGGGUAAGCACAUUAACAAGACGAUGUGUUUUGCAGAUAUAGUGAUGACAAGAUCAGAAUCACCCGGGGAUAUAAUAAAAUACUCUUUGUGCAUGUACGAACUGAUGGUUUGAAACAGAAACAGUAAGAGCAAUCAAAUGCGACAGAUCAAAGAUCUAAUUUCGAAUGGUACGAAUUUUGCUUUUGGGGACUACUCUGUAUCUGUUAAAACAAAAGCAUAGCAAGUUAGCAACUCGAUCAGGAAUGGAAACAUCACCUCAGUGUGUUUGUUAAAGUGGAAUCAUAGCAAGAAGUUUAUAUACAGCAACUCCAGAAACAAAUUAGAUCUGGUAAUUACUUUUGACAUGAUUUCCUUCGUUAAUUGCUGUUUCCAUGUGUACCAUCAAAUGUAAUUAUACUGCAAACUUGCAAUCAACCAACUGGUAUAUCAAAUGUGAUUAUUUUCUGUGUGCUCCCCUAAAUUCUUCUGUGCAUAUUGUUUAGUCAUAAGUUGAUGAAUAUGGGUUGUAUAUUCUUGUCAACUUAUAGAGAAAUCGCAAAAACAAUAUCAGACAUUAACUAUAAAUUCUCAUCAGUCCCAAUCAUCUUAGGAAACCACUGAAGCAUCAUUGAAGAGAGGCACAAAACUCUCCAUUAACUUUCAAAGAUGAAAUACAUAACCACAAAUGCUCAUAAGAUGAGAAGUGCAUUUUCGUGCUCGUCUUAUUGAGAAACCAGCUGUGUCUAUUUCUGGUAAUAACUUGCCUAAAAAGAAAAGGUGAAUCUUCUGAUCUCAAGUCACAUGAGAUUUCCUUAAUUAAGAUGUUCCUUCUUCUAUACUAAAGAAUCUUCAUCGAUUGUAGAAUUUUGGGAUGAAUCUCCAUCGAUUGUGUGUGAGUUGCUUCAUUAAAAUGGCUGAUUUGAUCAUAUACAGGUUUGUAAUCGAGAAAUCAGUAGCGUAUCAAAGAUUUUCAUUCUAAAAUUUUCCAUACUCAGCAUGGGCUGUAGAUUUCUUUUGGCAUAAAAAAUCCCCACUAGAUUUCUUGCUCCCCCCAUUCAACUUAUAUAAACUUCAUGCUGUGUUUCAUAAAACCCUAACAACGCUUAGAGAGAUUAUCUUGUUCUGUAUUGUACGUUCAAGCGUGCCAAGGUACUUUUCGAAACUUAUACUCUGUUCAUAUUCCUUGAUAUUUCUUCCGGUGUAGAAAUCUUUGAUCUUCAUGAGCUCUUUUUGUUUCUCAUAUCAAUCUUAUUAGCUGUUCUGCUUUGCAGCACUGCUAAUACUCUGUGACUUUUACUUGCAGUGUACGUAACGACGUAGCAAUGGCUAAUCAAAUGAAAGAAAAUUUCUCUGUCAAGGAGACCAAACCCUCUAUCCGUGCCAAGAAGCCGUUGCACGGUCCCACCACCUCCUUUGAUCUUGUGGAGGAGAUGUUAUAUCUGUAUGUCAGGAUUGAGAAAGCCAGAGGUGUGCCAGUUCAAAGUCACCUCCAAGUUGAACUGAAGAUUGGGAACUACAGAGGAGCCACAACAACCACGGCGCAAAGUCCACAGGGGGAGUUCAAUUGGUACCAGGUGUUUGCUUUCACCAAGAGCAGACUUCAAGAUACAACUGUGCAUGUUUCGGUGAAGGCUGAUGGAGGUGUUGUAAGCAAAUGUAGCUUUGGUGUAUCGGAAGCAUUGAGGAGAGUACCACCUGAUCCUCAAUUGGCAGCUCAGUGGUAUCGACUGGCGGAUACAAAAGGGAACGGAUUUGGAGGAGAGUUGAUGAUGGCAUUUUGGACUGGGACACAGGUUGAUGAGGUCUAUAAUGUUGCUUCGCAUUCUGAUGCAGUAGCAGCUCUUAGCGAUGAUGGUUUGUUGAGUAUUUGUCCAAGAGUGUAUCAUACCCCGAGGUUUUCGUACCUCAGAGUAAAUGUAAUUGCAGCACAGGAUUUGGUGAUCAAUGACAUCAACAACAGAGUCCAGCCGGUGCAGGUUUUUGUGGAAGCUAGUGUUCUGGAUUGUAAAUUUAGAACCAAAGCUUGUUCAACCAAGACUGUGGAUCCUAAGUGGAAUGAGGACUUGAUGUUUGUGGUUGCGGAACCAUUUGAUGCAACUUUGGUGGUGGAAGUCUAUGAGAAGGCAGUUGUUGUUAAUGGGGAAGUGAGACAUGGGGAACGUUUAGGGAGGUGUGAGAUUCCUAUAAAGAAUGUGGGGAAGAGGACUGAUAGAACACCGGCUGCUAGUCUGUGGUAUGAUCUUAAGCUCGUGCCGGAUCAGCCGAGAUUUGCUAGUAAGAUUAAUAUGAGGAUCAGUUUGGAUGGUGGAUAUCAUGUUUUCGAUGAUCCUACUGACUUUCCUAGUGAUCUUAGGCCGUCGGCAAAGGUUCUGUGGAGACCGCCUGUGGGGACUUUUGAACUUGGAAUUAUGAGUGCCUCUGGAUUGUCCCCAAUAAUGCCUAAGACUAGUGUGGACACUUUCUGUGUCGCUAAAUAUGGGCCAAAGUGGGUGAGGACUAGAACAGUCAUUGAUAAUCGUUCUCCAAAGUGGAAUGAACAAUACAUGUGGGAAGUCUUUGAUCAUUGUACAGUCAUAACUAUUGCAGUUUUCGAUAAUAAGUAUUUGCUCCAAGGGGGAGAAGUAGCUGCUCAUCAGGGAAUUGGAAGAGUAAGGAUUCGACUAUCCGAUCUUGAUUCUGGUAAAGUUUACACAAACUCGCAUCCCCUUGUGAGCCUAGAACGUUCUGGGGUGAUGAAGAGAGGUGAACUUCAAUUGUCUUAUCGAUUUUGUCCUACAUCUAAGUUUAAUGUGUACACUAGAUAUCCAGAGCCCCUUUUGCCCAAGCUGCAUUAUAUUCUCCCACUAUCGGUACCUCAGAUUCUCAUACUAAGGGCUCAAGCUGUUCGGCUUAUACAAAAAAUGUUGCAGAGGGCUCAAUUAAGCGGAGAGGUUGUGCAGUAUGUGUUGUUGGACAACAAAUAUUCUUUUAGUACGCGGAGAGCUAGGGCUAAUUUUUUGAGGUGUAAGAAACUUCAAGAAAGUUUCCUAGUUUGCAAGCAGCAAUUUGAUCGGCUGCUGAGUUGGUCUAAUCCACGCCAUACUAUUGGCUUUAUAAUUUUCCUCAUUGCAGCCCUUUGCUUCCCUAGUUUGGCACUAGCUUCCAUUUUUUUCACGAUUUCCGGUGUAGGGGCUUGGGGUUACAGGAAGAGGCCUAGACAACUUCCUCACAUAGACACCGAAUUGUCACAGCUUAAUAGUGUCGACCGUGACGACAUUGCCGAAGAGUUUGAUGGAGUUGUGACGGAGGAGAGACAUGUUCAACUUCAAAAGCUUUUAGUGGUUGUUCAGACACUGCUCGGUGACAUUGCAGCUACAGGGGAGAGGGUGCAGUCUUUGUUGAGUUGGAGGGAUAAAAGAGCUACACUUCUUGUUCUGAUACUUUCUUUCAUUGCUGGGCUUGUUUUUUACUUCGACUUUUUGGACUUGCGUGUUUUUUUCUAUGGGCCAAUCAUAUGGAUGUUCAUGCGUCCAUUUAUUCGUGGACUUAACCUCCCUUCAUAUUUCCACAACUUCAUUAGGAGAAUGCCAUCAAAGAUAGACAGCAUGCUAUAAGGAGCUGUAGCUUGGUAAUUGCAGAUGGUCUCUGGGAUUACUUUUGUGGAUGUAGAUGCUUCUUUCUUCAAUUUUCUUAUAAAAAUCUAGUGAAAUGAUUGUGUUGAAUUUUUCCAGUUAUGUAGGUGGGAUCAUGUUUGGUUCGCUGAUUUUAUAAUACCAGUUCUCAACUGUUGAACUUGAAUGACUGAGUCUGUCUGGUUGAAAGAAUUUAGUUCUUAAGGAAUUGAUAAUCGACUUUCUCUAUAAAUUGAAUUUAGUUUGGAUUGGCUUUGGCUACUACUGAGUUCGAUAAAUUGAGCAACCCUGACUUCAUCAGGAAGAAAUUGAGCAACCCUGACUUCAUCAGGAAGAAAUUAAGCAAAUCGACUUGAAGAUUCAAAGUUUGGCCACUUUUUUAAGAAUUAAUGACAGCUACUAAAAUCCACGAAACCAGAAAGAAAUUAUUACUUGAAGCUUCAUCCACGUAUAGAAGUCGAUAAACAACAAGCUCAAAGGCAAUUCAAAGCAGCUUUGAUUUGUCCAUUGCAAAGCAGUAAAACGUGUCCUGAAUUUCGCUUACAGUUUUAUGUUUUCACCAACAAAAAUAGUUUCUGGAAAGUGAGCCAAGGAAUGAUUAUCAUGCACCUUUCACAAAGCUACCCAUGUCUCGAUUGUCCAGGAAAAUUCAGCAUACCACAAGCUGAGCAGCCUUGAAUAGCGAUCUGAUUACAAGUUGGAACCUGACUCGGGAAGCAUGUUUCAAUAUGUAAGUCAUGGAGGCAGUCUGUUCAAGAAAGAUCAAGUAAAAAAGAGAAACCUAAAUGCAGCAUAAUCUCCGUUCUUACCCACAGCCACAUGGUGGAGUUUGUAGUAAAAGACUCCAUGCAACAAAAUAAAGAUUGGAAGAUCACAGAUAGAGCUGAUGAAGCAGCUUCCUCAAAUGAUAAGCAUAUCUGCUCAGAGAUAGACUUGAAACAUUCAAUCUUUAGACUUUCUGAUGAUGGAGAAAACAGUCCAACUGCUUAUACUCCGCCGGUAUGGGCUGGCUCAAAUUGCGAACUUGGAGAUACCCUCAAAGAAAUACAAAAGAUUGGCAAGGGUGUAAGCCACUUCCAUGAAAGAUAAGAAGAUAUGAGGGAGCAAAAGCAGAUAACUUUUCAGAGACAAAUUGUUCUCCCAUAUUCAUAAAAUUACAGAGUCGAAUGUUUACAACUGCACAAUCACCACCAAUGUUCCACAGACCUUAAAGAGAAUUGCAAACACACUUCUAAUUCUAGCAGAAUAACAAUAUCAAUAUUACCUUUACAUAUUAUAAAUAUGCAGCAACGUUAUUGCAAAUUGUAAGUGAGAGCACAUUAAAACAACAAAAAAUUCAUAGAAUUGCCGAGGAAUAUUCGGAAAGGUUUGCAUGACAUUAAGUGAAUGGAAAUUUAGUACAGCAUACCCAAGAGAAUUAUCAGGUCCAUUUCAAAGUUUCGAAUAUGCAGACAUACAGAUAUAUCUUUUUAACAGAAUGAACCUGGACUAACUCCAAUACAAACCUCAUCCCAGAACAAAAUAUAAAACCUACAUUCCUGAUCCCUACAGACAUUAUUAGGUCAGAACAGAGAAGAUCCUUCCCCAUCCACCUGACAGACUAUUAAUGGAACUAACAGCAAAAAAUCCAAACAUAAUCUGAAUCUACAUAGUGCAUAUAUCCAGAAGUAUAACGAUCGAUCACCAAGGGAAAUGUUUAUCUGUUCAAAAGAGCAACUUACAUUAACGCGGGACAGAUUAGUCACCUACGCCAAUGCUCUUCUCUGUGCUGGAAAUUCCCAUUUCUUCAUCCCUCUCUGCAUUCAUCUGACCCUGCAUCAACUGACUCUCAUUCUUGGUCUUAACUUCAUUCUUCACCGCCUCAGUAUUAUUAUUCUCUGUGCAUGAAGUUCCCAUUUCUUCAUCCUUCUCUGCAUUCAUCUGACCCUGCAUCAACUCAUUUUCAAUCUUAGUCUCAACUUCAUUCCUCAAGACCUUAGUUUCAUUCUUCUCAUUGCAGGCAAUUACCAUGUCUUCAGCCUUCUCUAUGUUCACCUGACCCUGCACAAACUCAUUCUCAUUCUUUGUCUCGCCUUCACUAGUCACCAGCUCAGUUUUAUUUGCAAUUACUUUGUUCAUUAUAAACUCAUUGCUUGCUUCCUCAACCUUCUCCGAAACAACUCCAUCACCUACAAGAUCAUUCCUUCUUCCCUCAUCCUUAUGUUCAAUCUCUUCAUUACCUACAACCUCAUUUCUCAAUUCAUCUUUGACCUCAUUUUCCUUUAAUUUCAUUUCAUCAUGAACAUAUUCUUCCAUCGAGACAUCCCUAACACCAUCUCUAGACACAUAAUCUACCACCUCAAUGUUGCUCUCACCUCCCAUGCCCAUAUGAGGCACAUCCGACCCUCCAUCACUAUCAUUCUCAGAACCAUUCUCCACAACCUCCUCAUUCACCUCCAUCACAUGAUGCCUUCUCUCAAGAAACAACAUCCUCCUCCUCAAGUCCCCCAACUCCCUCUCCAUCAAGAACAGCCUCUCUUUCAAAGUCAAAUUUUCCUCCUCCAACUGAGCAAUGUGGGUAUCCUGAUCAUCCACUCUAUUCUCCAAGACAUUAUUAUACUCAACCCCACUGUAAUUCGGGUAUAUCAUCUCGAACCUGCUCAAAUCAUGGUCCAACCUCCUCUCCACCUCCACAUGCUCCUCCACAUCACUCUCACUCGACCCGCCCCCUCCCUCCUCAUCAUCAUCAUUCCCCGGAGACCUAAGCCGAAUCAACCCUUUCAUCGAACCAUACCCAUCCACACCCCACUCCUCCUUCGCCGUGUCCCCCAAAACCUCCCUGGACGGCGAAAAUAUGGGCGUGGGCAGCACAGCAGGGGUCACCGGACAAGGCGAAACCAGCGAGGCGAUCCCACCGGACUUCUUAGCUCUAAUGAUAAACGAGGUCGUGUUCCUUGGCGCAUAAGGCGCGAACCUAUUGUUAUACUUCUUUUUGGGGUAAAAUUUCCGAGCUUUCAUUCGAUUCUGAUUCUGAGACUGUAACUCAUUAAGCGUCGGAGGUAUGUACCCUCCUCCGCUGCUCUGGCCACCACUCAGGGGCAAAUUCGGAACAUUAUACCCUCCAGUACUGCUCUGACCGCCGCUCAGGGGCAAAUUGGGAACAAUCUUCUCCAUUCUCCUCUUGUCAUUUCCCUUCUUCCCCUUCCAAUUGUUCCUUCCGAGAUUCGACUGCGGCGGCUUCCCGGCGGCGAACUGCUGCUGCUGCGGCGGCCAAGCCUUGUAGCUCCGGUUCAUCAUCAUCGGCUGAGACUGACUGUUCAUCAUCAUCUGCUGCUGCUGAGCAGCCAUGGCUUGAGACGACGGCGCCAUCAUCUGCGGCGGCGGCUGAGUCAUCAUCUGCGGCUGCUGGCUCAUGGCUUGAGCUUGGCUGAGGCUCAUCAUCGGCGGCGGAUGUGACUGAUCGUUCAUCGUUAAAAAAAAAAUACUCGAAAAAAAAAAAACCUAAAACCACGUCGUUUACCGGUCAGAUUCCGACCAAUCAGCCGGAAAAAUCAAAAGCCCCCUGAAAAAAUUCCCUAGGUCGAACCCUAAGGAAUUCGUUGGAUUUCAAAUUCAAGAUUUCAAAUGAAAUUUAAAUUUGAGAGAGAGAGAGAGAGAGAGAGAGAGAGAGAGAGAGAGAGAGGUAGGUUAGGUUNNNNNNNNNNNNNNNNNNNNGAGAGAGAGAGAGGGGUUUUUGAUUUUACGAUGAUUUUUGUGUGCUUCUGAUUUCUGAAAAUCUCGAUAGACACGAGAAGCCGUUGUAUGAGGCCGGGUGGUCUAUAUAUAAAGGCAGAUUGCGGACUCAGGGCGGUUGGAUCAGAGAUUUGUGAAUCGACGGUGGAGAUCGAGUGUUACGUGUCGGUCAUUGGGUUAUAAGCGUCGUAGAAGGUUUAGGCCUUUAAAGUUACUUUUCAGGAUGUCAAUUUUACUUUUUACGUGAGGUAAAAGUGUUGGGAAAUCCCAAAUUGACAGAAUUAUGCUCUAUCUAUUGUUUUUUUUUUUUUAAUCUCACGACGAUACACGAUAUAAACAUAUGCAUGAUAGUCUUACAUUUAAAUGAUAUAUAUGAUACAAAGUAAACCGAUUGAAAAUAGAUGAUAAUAAUACAAAUGCACAAACGGCACAGUGCAUGGUCUUACAUAUAGGUGAACAAAAAUCAUUUCGUGUAUGUAUGCAGUAGUGUACAAGAAUUUUGGAGUUUUUCUUUGAAACGAAAUUUGUAUUCCAUUAGAUAAUGUACUAAAAUCUUUUUAAUCUGUUUUUCCUAUCAUAAUUAGCGCUCUAGUCUUUGUGAUAAGUUGGAUAAGCUCAAUCAUGAUUUUCUUUGAGGAGAUGAAGAUAAGAAAAAAGUUCAUCUGGUUAAGUAGAACACUGUUUGCCAACCAAAACAACUUGGUGGUCUUGGCAUUAAAAGAACUUCUGAAAUGAACCAAGCCAUGCUUGCUAAAGCUGGUUGGUGUAUUUGGCAUGAGGAUUCUAGUCUUUGGACUAACAUUUAUAAAACCAAGUAUCUGAAAAAUCAAAGUCUUGUUGAUGAGCAUUAUAUACCUCCUUCUGAUUGUUCCAAUACCUGGAGGCAGUGGCGUAGCCAGAUAUCUCACUUAGAAUGGUCAAAUUUGAUGAACUAGAAAAUUAAAUUAUUUUCAGUCACUCUUUAGCGACAACACAAUUUUGUUAAAAGAUGACACAAACUUAAUUUCAACAAUAUUUUUGUCUAUCAUUAUCAUCUCGAAUAACUUUGGAUUAGAAUUUCAUGCANNNNNNNNNNNNNNNNNNNNAGAUAAUGCAUGUUGAUGUAUGGUAAACAUUAAUGUGUUGUUUCCAUUUAGUAAGGUAAAAACCCUUAACACUAUUUGUAUUAAUUGGAUUAAGUAUUUGAAUAGUAUAAAUUUUUAUUUCAUUCCAUUAUUGUUGAAGAAUAUUUAAGACUAAUUAAGAAUUUAUUAGAGAAGAAGGGUCAAUUUAUGUUUUAUUUCCACUAAUAUCCAAUACAAAUGAAGACUAAUUACUCUUUUUGAAAAUUUGAGAGGGUUCAAUUGAACCUUUUGCCCCCUAGCUAGCUACGCCAUUGCCUGGAGGAGUGUUAUGCACGGUGCUGCCUUGCUCAGGAAAGGUCUUUCUUGGCGCAUUGGAGAUGAAAAACAAUCAAGUUCUGGUACGACUGUUGGGCUCUUCCUACUACUACUCUUAUUUCUCAUUCUCCCCCAAAUAUUUCUAUUAAUCAUGUUGCUACUAUGUGUGAGUUUUGGGAUGAUUUUGGUUGGAAUAUUGAUCUCUUAGCUGCCUCUCUCCCUAGUCAUGUUAUGAUGUUAUUAUUAAUAUUCCAACUGGUUUUGAGGGUUAAGGAGAUGAUACUAAAAUUUGAGCUGCCACUUGAAAUCCUACAACUCAAUCUUUGAUUUUAAUCAAGCCACUGAUCCUCAGUGGAAAACGAUUUGGAGUUUUAAUAUCCCUCCUAAGCAAAAGACUUUUCUAUGGGUGAUUCGGCAUAAAAAAUUGGUGACUAAUGUUCAAAGGGCUAGAAGAGGUUUCACCAAUGUCUCCUCCUGCUCCAUUUGUAAUGGUUCUGCUGAAAGUCUUCUCCAUUUGUUUAGAGAUUAUCCUCAAGCUCAGUUGGUUUAGAAUACUAUCUCAAAGCCUGCUUCUAUCUCUAAUUCUUUCACUCUUGAUUGACAAGGUUGGUUGCAUGCUCAUCUUAAUUGUAAGCUCAUUACUUAUAAAGGAAUUACGUGAUGUGAUUUUUCAUUGGAGUUUGUUGGUGAUGUGAUUUUUCAUUGGAGUUUGUUGGUUUUUAUGAAAGUGAAGGAAUACGAGAAUUUUUUAUACCAGCUUUGUGUUUCCUUCUAAUCCUCGAAAAAUAUUUAAAGUGCUACUGUUGAAUGAAAUUAUGCUAUUGUUAAGGCCAAAAGUGGUAAUGGACUGUGAUUACAAUCUCCUUAAUUGAAAAAAGCCUCCUGAACUUAUGGAAAGAUCGGUGCAGGAGGAAUGAUUAGAGAUCAUAAUGGUCUUUGGAUUACAGGUUUUCAAAUUAAUCUCGACAUUGGUGCCAUUGUGGAUGCUGAAGCUUCGGGCAUCUACUAUGGUCUAAAACUUGCUAGAAACUUCAACAUUAUGCAGCUGGAGAUUGACUCUGAUUUUGCCAUUCUCAUGAAUCUUCUCCAAAAUGGCACCAAUGCCAAAUUAAAAUAAGAACACUACAAAAAUAAAACAUAAAGGUAAACUUUUAAGAACCACCACAGUAUGACAGCACAAAUCUAUUCGCUCCUAACUACUCCCCAAGCCUCAUCAACAUUAUCACUGAAACGCAAAACUCCCUACUCCUUUUGUUAACUCUGGGAAGAAAAAUAAAAUCUACAUAGUAACGUGUUUUGCAUACUCGCAGUGUCAAAAAUAAUUGAUGAUAUACAUGACUAUUUACAAUGUUUCAGUCUCUCAGCAAUCAAAAUCACAACUACAUCAUCAGUCAGUUAAUCAGAUUAGAAAAAAAAAAAAAAAAAAAUACAAAUUACACACUAGCCUAAACUACACAACUACACCGAGGCACUAUAGUCCAGAAUUGGGAUUGUUUCCAGCGAGUAGUACAGAGAUUUCCAACCCUCGACUGAAAGCUUGGUUGAACAUGAGCCGAGUUUGAAACGUUGAUACAAAUGGGAACCAAGAUGACAAUGCAAUGGGAAUGAAUAUAACCAUACCCAUCCCAGCAUCAUAAAGAAGGGCAAUGGAACGGAUGGAUUUCCACACGCCCAGUUUCUUCAUCAAGGGUUUCCAAGCUAUGCAAAUCUGGGCACAAAGGGGAGUAUAGGUUACCAACAUGUAACCAAAUAGUGAUAGUAGAAACACUAAGAAACAGGAGAAACUAUAGUGAUGACUUACCGAAAGGAUUCCCCACCCAGUGGGUACAAACGCUAAAAUGGAAGCAAAAACGUCUGCGAUGGUCAGAUCUGUAAAUUUGAUUGCAACUGCUAAACCGGCCAGUGCCAACAUGAAGGAGACACCUUGAAUGAAGCGCAACAGUAGCUGGAAGUUGACAGAUAUUUUCUGGCUGAAGGUGAAUACCUGUGAAACCAAACAAAAAGGAUAUUUAAUAAACUCUUCUAGAUUAACAUCCCACAAUAUCAGCUAAAGUAUAAGGACUUAUUAAUGUUAUAAUUUUCACCUUGAAAAGAAUUAUAAGCACCGCAAAUACGAUCCAUGAGAGGCCAUACACCUACAGUAACACAAAAUGUUCGGUCAAACUUGAACAAAACGAAAUCGGCAAAGAUUAAAUAGAGAAAUUGAAAUAGCUGUACUCAACAGAGAUAACAAAGCAGAAGCUUAAAUAUGCUCUUCACUGUUCAAAUAGGAUAAUGACUCAUUAUUUUCCCAAUGGCAGCCAUGGGAAACACACAUAUAACAAAGGAUGGGUUACCGUUAGUGAUGUAUCGGAUCCCUUCACAUCUAGCCGGUAGAUAAUUCCAUACUGGAAGAUAAAGAAUCUUAGGCUCAAAAUUGUCUCUGCAAUCCUUCCACUGAAGGUUCUAAUAUGCGACUGCAAAUGAAAACCCAGGAAUAUAAACACAGGAUCAGAAAUAACUUGGAUAGAGCAUGAAGAAAAUUUUCUAGAACAGUUCAAAAAUGACAAGGACUUUCCUUAUACAGUUUCAUAGAACAGUUAUUUUCAUUUGGUCAACUAAAACAAGCCAUGCAAUCAGGAGUAUUACCAGUUCUUCCUCCCACCAAGCUUCCCAGCUUUCUUCACCCUUAACUCCAAUCCCACCUCUAUAAAGAAGCCAAUUCGUCCAAUCUCGGAAAUCCUCCACUACCCUGGAAGGAAAUAACAUUGGUCACUUCCAAUGAAGUACAAUGGAAUUACUUUUCUUUUUCCUUUUUUCAACAGAAGAAACAGAAACACUUACUUCUGCCACUCAAACCCAGAUGGGUUGAACAAAUAGGGAGCAAAAAGCCAAGAAAGAGCCAUAAACCAACUCGUCAUUGUAAGAAGAAUGUAUGAUAGAGCACCACCAUCAUCAUAUCCAUAAGCAAGGUACACUACCAACAAAAGAACUACUUCCAACCUGCAAACCAGAAAGAACAUAAAUGAUCAGUACACAUACAAAACCUGAAAUAGCUUUAUAAUAUUUCUUUUUUUUUUUCUUUCCUUAUACAAGCACAUAUUUUCUCUACUAACAAAGAAAAGUAUGGAUUAUACUUCAAAGAACUUGAAAGUAAAAUAUGAAAUAUCCUAACAGAUCUGCAAACUUUAUUACUUCCCAAGCCAUUCCGAAUAAUAUAGCAAUACAAAGUUUCAAAUUCACCAAUACAUGGUGCAUAAGUCAAAAAGAGAAGAGCAAAGAGAGGGAACAGGAAUAAUACCCUUUGAUAAAAUGACUCCGGGAGUAAAGCCUGUAAUUCUCUGUAAACUUAACAUGCCGGACUACAAAACCCCUGCCUGUCGCUUGAUACUAAUGAAAAACAAGCACAAUUCAAUAUGGUAUAGAUCAAUUGAUUUUAAUCUAGAACAAAAGAGAAAAUGAGAACCAACCUUUGCACCACCAUGGAGAAUUGUCCGGCCAAAAUAAUGUGUUUUGGUUCCCAAGGAGAAUGUGAAGAAGACAGAACAAAGUUGAAAUUGCAUUGUGAGGAAAGUCACUAUGGCCUGCAGCAAAAACCAAUGGCAAAUUUUGACUAAUAAGGUAAUGACAAGAGACAUACAUUCUUCCUUUGAAUACUAAGUACAACCAAGAAUCAAGAGUAAAAUAUAGAAGGGAAGCUGUGUCAUUCAACCAAGGAAGAAAAUUUCUACAUGGAAUGCUCCAGCUAACCUGGAAGAAGCUGAAUUAUGUUCUAUGUACAAUACUAGAGUAUGAAAUAAAGAACCAUUCAAAAGAAGUAAUCUCAUCGUUAUGAGAAAUUAAACCAAGAUGCCCAUCAGUGGUAAUGAGUAUAUUCAUCAACCGCAGACAACUCAAGAACAUAUGCCCUCAACCAACAAAACCAGGAAAAAUCUCACACGCGUGACAGAAAUGAUAACCAGUAAUCAGCAGGUUCUAAGAUAACUAUGUAAAUAAAUAACAUUUGGUAUUAAUUCGGAAGUACUUUGAGUACCAAAGGUAGAUUUAUGGAUCAUGGGAUGCUGGUGUGAUUUACUUCUUAGACAAUUUGUUUCAUAAAGAAUCAAAAUUCAUCAAAGAGAAUGAGUAAAUAAAGAAACACAUAAUUACCCGCAGGAAUCCCUGUUCCAAGAUGAAGCCUAAGAUCAUUGGGACGGCCGUAAAUAUACCAAUUUGAAGGAGAAAUUGUGUAUUCAGAGCAGCAGUCAGUGCGGUAUUCUUGGUUACAGAAGCCACAUUUUGCAAGGAUUCACCAACCCCAGAUAAUGCCUGAGAUAAACACAGACACGAAAGCAGGAAGGUUAAUCAAAGCAUAAGUACACUCAUUCUGGCCCCAAGGUAACCUUAAGAACUAAAGGAAGAACUUGAACAAUUAACUUGAGCAAUGUACAUAGAUCUCACAUGUGACAAAAUAUGAUAAAUCUCAAUCCAAAGUAACCUUAAGAAUUGAACGAAGAGUGAAAAAUUAACUCGAGUAAGGUGUAUAUAUGUCACAAAGUUAGAUAAAUCUCAAUCCUAUUGAAACUGAAACCUGCAUGCAUUACCUCAUUAUUGAUGACAGAUACAUAGAAAUACAAAUUUACAAUCCCAUUCAGAAAAGUGAAGAUUACAUAUUGGCACAUACUUGUUGCUAUAGUUUAGCAAUUAUGAAUGCAUGCCAUAGAACGAGAAUAACAUAAAUAACCUUACCAAAUAUGUCUUCCCAUAGAGAAAAACGUAAACCAUCAGCACUGUUAACUGCAGAAUCCAUAAGAAGGAAGACUUGUAAAAUACAAAUUCAUGUUAAUGGAGAACAGUUCUAAAGCUACUUUGCCUCAGUAAACCCUUGGAAGUACCAUGCAGUUAACAGUAAAAUCAAGCAAUAUUCCAACCACAUUCUGAAGAGUAGGCAAGUAAUUCCUUUCAAAAUGCACUGAAAACUUAAGCAUGACAAACUCUGAGCGAGUUAUUUAGCAACAAUCUUUUCUCCUCCUUUCGAGUUUUUUUUUUUUUUCUAUGGAGCUAUAUUUCUUUUACUUUACAUUAUUUUAAUAUCAAUUUAAUUGCAGUAAUACCACAUCCAUAAAGGUAAACUCCACGAGUGGACGCCUGUGCCUCAUCUUGUCCAUACAAAACGAGUCACUUUAGCUUUCACCUUUUAAAGCAAUGUUAACUACUGAAUGACGGUUGAAGAACAUAUUGAUAGCAAGUUGCUUGAUGAAAUAGAAUAAAUGGAGCUGUUCCAACCAAAACAUAGAUGAAACUUUACCAGGGUACAGAAGUAGUAGCCAACAGUAGUAAAGUAAAAUGACAGCAUGCGGAAGAAAUCAAACUGCUGGCCAAGCCUGUAUACAUCACGACUUAGAACCUGUUCACCAUUACCACCAGAAACCUUCCCCUCAAAUACUGCAAUUUGGUUUAGCCCAACGUCCCGCCCUUUGCCAACCUGUAAAGCACUAUUAGAUGGUCCCACAACCUAUUUCUGUCUCAUAUAAAGAUAGUGACAAGUUACCUGAAUAUACUCAUGAUGAGUCACAUUUCCUUGGCGUAAAGUUGAGUUGAAGCCUGCAUAACAAUAACUGAAAAUUCAGUCAAAUCCUUCAAAAGUAAGAAUAUUAAUCCUACUGACACCUAUGUCUUUCAGAUUUCUUCUAAUCUUCUAGAAGUAUCAACUUACUAGAUCCAGUCUCAAACAAAAACAAAAAAAUCCAGGAUUCAAAAAAAAUCCAAGAGCUGCACAAAGAUAAUACAAACGGAAAAAAAAAAACAAGAGCACCUUGCUAUCAAUUAAGAACCAAACCUGCAAAAAUAUCUUCACUGAUGUUAAUCACACGAGAAGCCUUGCUAAUGCCACCACGAGUUAUGUGGAAAACUCUAUCAAACACAUCAGGAUGACCAUAAUGCAUGCGGACCCUGUACAUUGCUUGGGAUCAGUUUCAAGCAACUGGAUGUUAAUGAUCUAGGGUUACUAAUCUGUCAUUGGCAUCACUAAAAUGGACUUACUUCAAAGGAUUUGCAAGAACCCGCUGAGCUAGAGUUACAAAGCUUGUUUCCUGGUUGCACAUGAAUGACGCAAGAGAAGAAACACUGCAAAAUAUAUACGUUAUGACUUGAACAAUAUUGCAAUCAUUUUUAACAAAUGUGCAACUAUGCAUUGAACAUACCUUCCCGUAAAGACAUGUUCCCUGACACCAAGAAUUGUAGGACGACGUAAACCAUGAUCACGGUGGAAUUCUUCAAGUAAAUUUCUCAUUUUCAAAGCUUCCUCAAAAUAAUUAUCCUGUACAAAAUAAUAGUGUUAUGAGCAACAUCGCAGAUAGACAGACUGUAAAGGGAAGAAAGGUAGAAGUACAACAGUUACAGUAGUAAGAAACGGUGUGACAAUAAUGAACUGAUUUACUAUUUCAGGAAGCUCAACCACAAGUCUCAUGCAAAAAACAAGCAUGUAAGCUAUGGGUCAGUGUGACCAUGUCUAUGGGAUCCACCCAAUUUUAUAAUUUCAUCAACUAACAAUUUAUAGGAGACAUAAGUAAAGCAGUUAAGGGUAAAUAAUCAUUCACCUGAUUCAUGUCAAUUGUUUGAAUAGCAUUUCCACGAGUAAACACAAUUGCAUGAUUCUGGUUCUCCGGUUUCCCUUCCCCUAUUUUUGGAUUUCCAGGCAGCUUUAUAGAGUAGAUUUCCUGUAUGAUAGAAGUUACAGUUCACCGGAAACAAUUAGAAUAACUACAUUGACGAGGUGAUGUACUAUAAAGUACCAAUAUCUAUAAUUAACAAAUCUUUAACAACAUAGAAGCAAAGACUUGCAAGUUAAAAAUAGGCAUGUUCACAAAGCUUAUCAUAAAAAUAAUAUUUAAAAUUAAAAAUUAAAAAUAAUAUUUCCUCUUUUUGCUUUGGGUUGACUAAAGAUUACUUUAAUAACAAAAAAAACUAUACAUAAGAAGUCCACCACUAAACAAAGAGAUAAAUUUAACAUAUACCAGACAAUAAAUACAUACAGUGAAUGAUGUUUCCACUUAAGAGAUACAAAAGCCUUGAAAAAGUUUCACUUCACCAUGAAACAGAAAAAAGAACAAAGAACCUAACUAGAACUCUUGCAGAAAAACUACAGAUACUGACUGGUCAUAAACUAUCUCCAUGAAAAGUUAUUCUAGGAUAUAAUAAGAACUAAACAACAAUUUGACACAAGCUCGUGAACUAAAAAGAUGUUAUACCUUGUCCUUGCCAUUGAUAUCCGCCUUUACAAGUUUUGAAUAGUACUCUCUGUUCACUUUACCAUCAUCUUUCAAAGUCUCAACCUCAUCAAUAAAAGCAACUCGAAGAGCCUCAUUUCUAACAAUAAAGUAAACAAAAGAAUUAGUUGUGUGACAAGAGUGGUAUAGAUGCAUGUGGAAUGUUGAGGGUGGUGAAUGAAGUUUUUAAUGAAUGCUGUCCUGUUGAAAAGCAUUAUACCCAGUCUUUCUUGUAAUUUCUGCUCACUUCACAAACAAAACUUCAUGCUUUGUAAGCCAAAGGGAAAAAGAAAAUGGAAUGACAUUAUCCUGCCUAGUGCUUUGUAUCUAAUGAUAGAGAAACCCUCUCAAAACACAUAGCAGAGAAAUAAAGAACUUGUCCGAUCAUAGAGUGAUCAACAUAUUCUUGAUGUUGACAAAUGGAUUGAGCAUCUGGCAGUGAUGUCUCUCAAAUCAUACUAUUUAAAUUUUCCAGAAAACAAAAUUCGCAAAUCCCCUAAGACUGUAGAAUGCCAGAAACCACAUAUGCAAAACUCCAACAUAUGACCACCAUACGAGAGUAUCCCAGUUUAAUGAUUAAGAAUUAGUUGUGUGCAACUCACCUUUGCAUAAGCAGUGCUAUAUCAGCUGCCUCAGGUUUUUGCCCUUCUUUCUGUUUUCCAUAUAUUUGACAAGUAACUACAUAUGUAAACUUCAGGUCUGCCUGAGCUCGUGCUUCAGGAGAUAACGCAAAUGCUCGAGUUUCAGCAGCGUCACUACUAGAAAUUGCAGCCUCCACAUCUGAUACUGUGAAAACAAAGUCGGAUUCUCAAUGUUUCAUGAAGGAGAAUAAAUUUAUAAUAGAAAAUAGUCGUCAAGAUAAGAAUAAAGAGCUGCAUACCUCCAGAAUUCAAUCUUUCCAAAUAGGUCUGAAGCAUAAGAGCCUUCCUAUAAUACAUCAUCCCACGAACUGCAGAUUUCAAACAUAGAUGCUUAAAGGAGAUACAUUUCAUGAAGACAAAUGAACAUUUGGAAAGCGUUUGGACUUCUAAACCGUACCAGUCUAUUAUGAAGGCAGUACUAGAAUUUUCAAAUGAAGAAUUUUCAAAAGGAGGGGAAGAAAAUAAACAAGAUGCAAGUAUAACAACUUGUUUUCUCCGGGUACCCAGUAUCCUUCUCCACCACAAAUGAUGUCAAUUUUCAAAAAGUUCAAUACAUUAUGGUACUAUACUAUUAAGUGACAUAAUAACAUUAAAGUACUAGCUUUAUAAGGCAUAUCUGAUCAACAUUAUCAUCCAUGUGAAAUUGUCAAUAAAAGCCACCAGUGUCAUGAUAAAUAUAAUUAUGAUAAAAAGGAGAAUAAGUUCAUUACACAAAUUAUACAAGUAAUGAACUGUUAAGAUACGAAAUGCAGGAUCUGCAAUUUAACCAACUAGAAAAUGUGUGCUCGGAUGGGCCAGCAAGAGAUCGAAUUUAAGCACAUCAAAACAUAUUUCCAUGGGUAUAAUACUUACCAGUUCUGGCCAAAGUUUGGCCUCGGUAAGACGCCCAAAACCGAAGCUCAAGAAUAUCAGAGGGAUUAUCAAAAAGUUCCAAGUCAUUCGCAUUUUCGUCACGGCCAAUUCGUGAAAGAAAGUUCUUCCACUCAUCUGCCACAGCCACGAAAAAUGACAAAUGUUAAUACUACAGGCAAGAACAAUAAUAAAAAAAAAUUAAUAAAUAACGCCUUCUUUUUAAUAUAAAUGCAUAGUUCAAGCAUAUUAACCAUAGUUUGAUUUUUAUUGGGUAGAUUUCUGGGCACUUCUGGAUUGUAUUUCUUUGUUUUGUGGACCACUUUACCACCUAAUUAGAGAAAUAAAUAAGCACCUGGGUAAAUCUUUUGAAGGUAAAACAAUACUGAUAUCCCAUCUUCAUUUUUCUUCUGGAGUUCAGCAAUACUAUAGAGCACAGUCUCAGCAUAAUAUGGAGUAAAAACACUGCAUACACAAGAACAGAUAGAUGAGGCAGAUAGAUGAUAGAUAGAUGAGGCAGACAGGUAUGUUAAACACUGCAUACACGAGAACAGAUAGAUGAGGCAGACAGGUAUGUUAAACACAAAUAAAUUUAACACAAGAAAAACGUGAUAAAGAAUUUAUUACCUGAAGGAUAACAUUUCACGGACUGGCCUUGCUUCGGGCAUGUCCAUGAAAAGAGAAUUUGUGAAGAACUGCAGCCUACGUCUGGCCUCCAGAUUUCGGGGGACAUUGGCAGCAGAAUCUUGAAUUGUCAACAAUGAAUACACUCUUUUGACUUGUGCUAUCUGCGUAUCAUCAAUAAUUUAAAAUCUUAUACAAAGAAAUAUGACUGAACCAAAAAUACAAAAAUAAACAAGCAAAGAGACUUCUCAAACAUACCAACGAUGGAUCCUUGGGCCACUUCAACUUUGCAAACAGCCGACCUUCCGUCCUUGCUUUUGAUAACAAAUUCCAUGUCUCAUAGUGUUCCCUAAAAGUUGCCCGUCAAUUAACGCCAUAUCUCACAACUUCUCUGCGCAGUUACUGGCACAUAAGGAAAAGUAUAACUGACCUCAGGUUAAUAGAAAGGACAUCAUGGCGCACAAUGUCAUAAAGGUCUUGAACAGCCUUAACAGCACCAUUCACCAAUUCAGAUGAUUCCCCUUUUUUCUGUACAUAAAGAUGAAACAUUAGAAAGUGAAUAAAAAGCAGUAUGCUUGACUAUGCUACUUCCACACAAAAUGUUCUAGUAAGACAUAAAACAUCUUCAAAUCAACAUAUAUCAGAACAAGGGAAAAGAUUGGAACUACAUGAAAAUUAUUAUUACUGUCAAUUUUUUUUUAAUAUUAUUUCAUAUUUGUAUGUAUAUAAACGAAAAGAAACAUCUUCAAUUGAUAGAUAAAAAGGUACCAAAGUCUGAGGACAAGAAGUUUACAGCAGAGAAAAAACAGGGAACAAUAAAUCAUCAGCAAGACAAACUAGCCUCUAGCCUAAAAGACACAAAGCCAAAACUAUGCUACAGCAAGCUUCCAGUAUUGAAUGAUGGAUAACAAUAUUUAAUUUUAUAUAUUUACUUAUUUAGUAAAACAGAUUAUAAAGAAUACCAUUCAACUCCAAAACCACUAAAAAAAAAAUCCUCUUGAAAACAUGGAAUAAUGCUAUUCCUGACACAUCUGAAAGAAGUGGACUCGAACAAAAAUCAAGAUUUCUAAAGAUGUCUUAAAAUUCAACCAAAUAAGCUGUACUAAUUGGACACAAACAAGCUUAUACAAAGAAAACAUAAGCAAGGGCAUCAUCAAGGACAAUACAUAUCCAAUAAUGAGAACCACAAUAAAAGUAAGGAUCCAACAAAUACAAACCAGAAUGCCCAUUAAUGCAGUAACUCUUGAUAUCACAAGUGGCAGCUUGUUCAGUUGAAAGUCAGCUUGAAUAUUCUUCUUCACUAUGCUUCCUCGAAUAUCCUCAUAUAACCUUUCAACCCUGACAAGAUGGAAGAUAGCUACAGUGAUUUUUUUUUUUCUCCAUGCAUAUGAGAGCCUAUAUCGCACUUGUAUCUUCUAACCCAAACUUACCACAUCUUUCCUUCACCCUCCAAUAUUUCACUUAGGAUAAGCUUAAUGGAAUAGAAGCAAUCCUGUACAGCAUACUUCAUAUAGUCAUCUCUAGAAAUUCUUUCCCAAAGCUCAUCUUGUGAAUCCCGACUUUCGAGAGCAAUAUCUUUGGCGAUAAAUAUCUAUGAAAUUAAUUUUAAUUAGUGAUAAACCGAUUUAUAAGGUUAAUAAAUCUUAAUUUGAGAAUAUAAAUAGUUCAAGUAAUUAGUAGGAAAGUCACCUUGCUAGCAAGAAGGAAAAGGGGCCACUGAACUAAGGGAAGAUUUCCAGAGUUUUUAGGCAUUACAAGCAGCUCCAUUUCUCUGGACUCAGACAAAAGGCAGAGGUUAUUGACUGGUUGCAAGAUGGUAGUGAGAAAACAAAAUCAAUUGGAAUAAUUACAACACUCACAGGUCAGUGAUAUAAUCUUCUUCCCUUAGAUUAUUUAUGAUUUCAUUCCAAAAGGGAGAAAAUUGACUAGCAUCAACCUUGUUCUUCUCAAUAUCCUAGAAAUGCGCAGCUAGUUAAUCUUCCCAUAUAGAAACUAAACAAUGAAAAAAGAAACACAAGUGUACACAGCAUCAAAAAUGUGAGCUUCCUUCAAGAUCAGAUUUCACCACAAGAAAAUCACCCAUAUAAGAAUGUAUAUACCAUACCACCAGACCAGUAUCAGCAAUAGAGAUAAUUUUGCAAAAGAACUAUGUUUUCCAGAAAAGAAAAUUUAAGAAGAUGAGAAGGUAAGGAUGAAGUAAAAAAAAUACCAUUAGAAAAGACUCAAACUAAAAUGAAAUCAAUUAUUACGUGAAGAUAACAAAUGUAGGAAAUUACUGCCAGAUACUACAUUCAAAUUAAAAAGUAUACAAUAUCAGAAGAGACUUGAUAAAUUGAUAUUAAUCAAAACAGUUCAAUAGUACUUAAAUACUUUAUUCCAGCCAAGGUACUCAAGAUUUUAGAUAUAUUGAAAAUAUAGCUUUUUCCUGCCUCUUUUACUGACUAACCUCGCUUGACGACUGAUGGUAAGCCCUGCCAAAUAUAUAAGCAGUCAGAUGAAAUUCAAAGAAAGUGAUUUACUCAUGGUGUUAUAUGUAUAGACAAUCAAUUGAAUAAAAUGUAUUCGUAUAACCUGUUAGGCAGGCGGAUAUGAAGAGUAUCCAUAAAAGCACCAGGAAACUGCUCAAAAAGUUUAUGAAGUGCUUCCAGUGACCUAAUCUGGAAAUAAUAAUAAUAAUAAUAAUAAUAAUAAUAAUACAAUAAAAUAAAGUUAGAUAUAUCUAGUGAAUAGAAAAUAUAUAAAAACAAUAACAUACACAUAUUCAAGUGAAAGGUGCUGGCAAGGAGACAAUGAAAAUCCCCUUAAAGUAAAAACUGAUGGACAAAACCAGACAAUUAAAAAGAAUCACACAUUUAUACAAGUGAAAGGUGCUGGGCGAAUGAAAAAAAAACCAUUAAGCAAAACUGAUGGACAGACCCAGACAACAAGAACACAAGAAACGGAACCCAAGCAACAGUUUUAACUGACCUCUCCAAGACGAUCUCUGGCACCAAGCAAGAAUCCCCACACAGCAGAUACAAGGGUGUAAAAUACAUGAAGAUCUAGAAGAUAAAUCUGAAAAGAAAAUAAAUAAAUAAAUAAGAAUGCAAGACAAUAAGGCAAAGAAAGGAAGGACACAUGCAGCAGCAAAAGAGAAAUGAGAGCCAAGUGAGCCAAACUCACUUCCAGAAAGUCUACCAUCACCCGUUCUAUUGCCCACUGAUCACAUCUUAAUUUUAAAUGGAAGCAAACAUACUAUUCAAAUUCAACAAUCUUCAUCCAAACAAGGAUACAAACAAUGUGGGCUCAGCAGGCCACAAAAAAAAUACUUCCGAGAUCCAAGAAGAGAUGGACCCGACAGUUGCAGAGUUGAGAAUACCCAAAAUAAAAAGAAGAGAUGAAGAAUAUCCAACUUACAACUACCACGGGAGCCCAUAAAGCAGCAACUGUCAGGACAUUAUAGUUGUCUGCAAGCAUGACGCAAUUUAAACAGUUAAAAGCAGCAUUCAGGAAGAUUCAUGUGCUUUUAUUAUGACUAAAAUUGCACAAAUACAUAGGACAGCCCAAUGGAUUUUGGAAAGAUAAACCCUGGAAUCAGUCUAACUUUAGGUCUGAUUAUAAGAGUCAAAGGAACGCAUAAAAACAUGAUAUCAUUAUGAUUGAAAAUUGAAUAAAAUUGGUAUGGUUGGAAGCAUAGUUAUAGUUCAUCCAGACUGCCCCCUUGCUUGUUUCAAAAAGCUAUAGCAAUUUAAGUUUUAUAUAAAUUAACCUAAAAAUAUCCACAAAAUAGAUUAGCACUGAUAUUAAAUAUAAACAUCUCAUUUAGUGAAGGUUUCUUAUUUUCGUACAUUAGAGGAGAAUCGAACCACUGAUCUAGCCUAGUCCUCACCCAAUUCCAAACCGCCUCACCACUUUGUCUAUUAUUGAAAGUAUUUCAAGUAAUGAUAGGAUGGUUACUUACUCCCAGAAACCAAAUCAUGCCAAGUAUAUGUUAUCGCAUUUGUGUUCACUAUAAUCGUGGUUGGUUCCACCAACGGCUUGAUCUAAAAAAAUUCCAAAAAGGAGUAAGAUUACAUUCACGAUGAAUAAGUCAACUAAAGAACAAUACCACAAUGAAAGCAUGAUUAAUAUGACAGACCUGCAGGAAGUAUGCAAAUGCAAACUUUCCACUCAAAAUCACAAGCCAGAAAAACAUGUACCUGAAACAAAAUAAAGCCCACAUAAGUAAAUAAAAGGAAUUGGAGAAACUUCAAGUGGUUUAACUUUUAAGCAUUAAAUCACCAAUCCUUAAUUAAUAUAUGUAAACCUAGAAAUGACAGCUAACUAGUCACAGUAUAUUUUUCAUCACCACAAACAAUAAUUAAGAAGGCAACACUUGAUUGAUGUGUGGAAAAUUGUUCAUGUACUCUACUUUUCUAAUGUGGUGUCUCUCUACUUAAAAUGACCCAUCAGAUGGGCAUCAGCAGGUAAAUGAUCAUUAUAUUAGCAUUUCCCAACCUUAGAUUGUCCGUAGAUUCAAAUGAUACAAGAGAUCAUGGCUUCAUAAAUGGUUAGGUAGGUACUACUACGGUGGUAUUAUCACAACCUAUGGUUUCUUAUCAGAUAUAUGAGUGCAUUUCCACUUGCACAAGAAAAAAUAAAAACAGUAGAGAUACAGCAAAAAUCUGCUUAGUGUUCAGUACGUAUAUAGUUCAAAACAAUGAAGAAUAAAAAUUAAAAAAUAAACAGAGAUUAGCGAAUACUUGAUGAAAUCAGUAGUCCUCUCAAACAUGCCCCGUCCAACAUAGUACCGUUCCUUGAAAAUGAACAUAAGCAGCAAUAAAUAAUGGUUCAACAAAGCAGAUGAUAGAAAACAACAACAUGAUGAGUAACUAGAGAAAGAAACUAAUUAGAUUAAAACCUGGCGCAUCCACUUGACAAAGCGAAUCAGAGACCAGCGAUCGCAUUGAUUAGUCAGACUGUGGCAGGCUGGAAUGCGCAUGAAAAAGCUAAUGAAGAACUGGAUACCAGCAUAUAUGCCUACAAUCAUCAGAUACAAUCUGUACAUGACAGGGUUUCCAUUUUGUUUACUCUCUUCCUGGAGAGCUUUCCUGCAUUAAGGCACAGAGAGAAAUGUUACCUCUGUUUAACAGCAUCAGAAGAGAAAAAUAGAAAAACUUAACACAAAAGCAGAUGACAGAUGAUGAAAAUUAUCUUAUGCAAAUAUGUAAAAGAUUACUCAGGAAAUUACACGUAAAGAAAAGAUAUGACCACUGAUGCAGCGCCAAACCAAAUAAAUCGGAGAAAAAUUCGAGAAACUGCUAGGCUCCGUGACGUAGAAUAGGCGCCAUACAUCAUAGCAACAUCAAGAACACCUACAUGAAGAAGCACUUUCUCAGCUAUUGAAUGCAUGGCACUAGUGGUGAACAACAAACAACUAGCUAAUAUUAACGGAACAAUGUUAACAUAUAACAGGUUCUUAAUAGAUAAGUAAUUCAUACACAAACUUUUUAGCAGUAAAGAAACAUACUCUCGAGAAAUUUCAUUCCGACGAAUGUGGGACCAAGACUGAGAAUUUCUCUAAUACAUUUUGCAUCAAACCUUUGGUUAUUGAAUGCAAUUAUCGCAAGUCCCUGAAAGUUAAAAGGUAUAGAAUAUCUUUAUAAAAAAAAUAUGGGUCAUAGAAGUCACAUAAUAUGAACUCGAUUAUCUACUGGGAUCAUAAAUUUAUCAAAAUAUAUUAUUAAACUCAAGAUAAAAGGCAGGGAACAAUUGAACAAAAAAAAAGAUCUAUAGCAUGAAGACCAAAGCCCAUGGAACCAAAAGGGAUUACAUUUACUAGUAAUAGAUAAAUAUUAACUUUUGAGAGGGAGAAAGAAGGUUUUUCCAAAGGUUUUAUACUUUAUCAAGGCAAGAAAUGAACCUCAUCAAAACUGAGCAUUCAAUUAGACAUGCAAACCUGAAACAUCAUCACAAGGAAUAUCCACAGACGGUGGAAACUAUGAUACAGAUGGAGAAAUGUCCUGUGCUCAACAAAUGAAGUUUUUCCUCGAUGUUGACUUCUGCCUGAUUUAAGAAUAUUCUGCAACAAAUAAGAUGAAGUAUUUAGCUACAUAUGCCAAUUUUUCAAUCAGUCUAAACAAUAUUGGUGACACUUGACAUUACGAAUUCCAUCCGCAAUAAAAGUUCCUCAAUCAGGCAUCAAACGGUUGAUAGUUUAGCUUUUUGACAGAGCUUGCAACACGCCCAGUAGAUAUGCAGCUUAACCAGAGUAUAGAUUCACAAAAAUAAUGUUUAAUACGGAAGAAAUGCACUGUAGGCAACAGUUGGUUACAUUGCAUAGUGUAGGAAAACAUAUACAACCCAUACUAACAAAGUAACAAUGCAGAAACCAAUACAGAUGUCACAACAACUAAGUUUAAACAUCUCUAUGAAAGAAGACAACCUUUGACCUUGGCGUUGGCUUUUGAAAAAAUGAUGAACCUUUGCGCCAGGGCCAACUGAGAUCAAAACAACUGAGUGACCUGAAAAGAAUGGGUGAUCAGCUUUAAGGUAUGAAUAUACAUUUAUACAUCACUCUUAAAGAUAUCUUACCAGAAGUACUCAUUGAAAUCAUCAUAAUUGCGCCAAGCAGAAUGUGGUGCUCGUCCAUUUUCAUUGUUUCCAGCUUCCUGUGCACAUCUUAUGUCAGAAGCAGUUUUCACGAAACCUUUUUAUAGCUAAAAUCCACGAAAAUACACAAUCCCCCAAUGGACAUGUAUAUGCUACCCGAUUGAAUAAGUUCAACUAAAGUUCAUGAUUUAUCCAUACCCAUGACAUGCUAACUUAGAAAAAAUGGUGCAGCUCUUAAACUUCUAGUAAGCAAGUCUUAUAUUAUUAUUUCAGUAGGUCAUACAAAGAAAAGAACAGAUGUUUCCUAUCAAUAUAGCUAAGAGAAGAACUCAACUACAAGAAACUAUCUAACAGCAAGAGGAAAUUAUACAGAACCAGCAUUGCAAACUCAAGGGAAAGGACAUUCUUAGAACAUCAUCCAUGAAAAAAGGAAGAAAUAUAUAAUAAAAGAAUGCAUAUGUUAACAAGGAAAUUGUAAACAAGAAGCAUAACUUGGAUGCACACAAAUAAUAAAGGCUCAUAUUCCAUAGCUAUGCCUGCCUCAUGUAGCAAUAAUUUGGACGCAGAAAAGUAAACAACAUGGUAGUCGAAGCAUGAAAACUCAAAUCAUUACAUGGAUGAAUAGAUAGGUGUGUGCUUGUCAGAAUCAAAACAUCGAUUGGAUGAAGAGACAGGUACACACUUGUCUCAACAACAAUCCAGACUAGCCAGUAAUCAGACACGGAAACAAACAGUAGUAAACUAUAGCAGUAUAUGCCAGUGAACAUCCUUAUCAAAUUUUCAGGUGAAACAAUAAGUGGGAGCCAUGACAUACCGCUGACACGAUCUCGAACAGAGGAUAUAUAACUUGAUCAAGGAAAGAAACUCCAUUUUCAGAAUUACAACUGUUGGCUGGCUGCGCAAUCUGCUGCCUCAGAAUUUCAUCCAUUUCCCUUGCCAUCUGCAUAUUGCAUUCAAAGUUAAAAGAAUUAAUAUUGGCUUUGGGGGAUAAAAAAAAAAGGCAGAGCAAGGUAACAGUCCCUGCAGAACAGUAGCAUAUAUAAUAUAAUAAUAAACACUAGUUGUUGAUUGAUCAUAAAAUAAUAAUAAGCAUACAAAUAAACACCCUAGUUUGUACUAAAAACAAACAACCAGACAGCAACAGAGGUAUGAGGGAAGCUUUUAAGAUAAAAAGGACACAGAAUCUUUUCACAUUCAACGCCAGUCUUAUGAAUAUAGAGAUUCCAUAUUACUCCAAAAUCGAGGAAAAAAAGAAGUAUAAUCCAUAGUGACACAACAAGCAGAAUCUCAAUUUUUUUAAUUGUUUCAUUCCAUCACAGUUGCUGCAAAAUUUACCCGAAAACAUAGUGAUAAUAUAUUGAAAUUCAUGUGCUUUGAAAAUAGAUCACCAUAGUGAUUUAUUCUUCACCAAUUAAAACUAAAUUGGGCAAACUAUGCAGAAGGAAACACUACAAGAGAGCAGCACUUACAUGAUGAAAUAUGUAGCACAAGCAUUCUGGAAGAAAUCUAACAUUGGCUGCUUCACCCCAGAUCAAACAAUACAUGGAAGCAAACAGAAGCUUUUUCUCCUUGCUAACUGACUCCAAACUGCACAAAAUUGACUGUAUCCAUUAGUCACUACCAUCAAUUCCCAUCAUUUAUCAUUUAAUAAUAAAUUACAUCACACUAUCAUCGUAAGUCAACCUGGCAGACUAACCCGUUACCCGCUACCCGCCCGCUAAUAACCCGCCCAUUUCCGCCCCAUUACAGUUUUACGCUAACGGGUUGACAACCCGCUAAGUAAUGGACGGAAACGGGUUACCCAACGGAACCCGCCCAACCCGUUAAGAAAAAAAAAAACAAAACCAAUGUUAAACCUAAAGACAAACCAAGCCGUCUCUCUUUCUCAGUUUCUCCAGAUCGAACUCUCUCCCUCUUCAGAAACAAACCGAUCUCUCUGACUCUCUCAGUCUCUCCCUCUUCAGAUCGAAAAUUCAAAACAAACAAGCCAGUCUAUCUCCCUGUUCAGAAACAUACCAGUCUCUCUCCCUCUUCAGGUUUUUGUUUCCUUACUCUUCUGGAUUUUUUUUUCUGGGUUAGUGAAUUGAAUGGAUUGUUGUAUGAAAUUGGUCUUUGAUAAUGAUUUUGUUGAAUUAUUGACUGAUAUUGUUCUGUGGUUUUGUUUAAUGACGGGGUGGCUGUGAUGUUUAGUGGGACUUCAGUGAGGAUAGGGUGGCCGUUGGCGAGGAAGUUUGUGCCUUGUAGGGUUAUUGAGAGCGGAGAGUUAACGUUGCUGUCUACAAGGGCCGUUACGUCUAGGGCAUUGUUCUUGCUCAGGCUUGGAGCCAUGGGAGAGAAGCUUAGGUGAGCUUGAGGUGUAUAAGAAGGCAGUUUAUGGCUGUAUGCUGUAGGCUGAUUUGGCUGGUGACGGAGGGAAGGAUUUGGAGGGGAUUAUAUAGGGAGUUGUAAAUAUGGUUUUGUCAAAAGUGGGUUAAAAGUAAAGGUAGAACUGUAGAAAAAAAUAUGUAUAUGGGUAUUUUAUUUGAUUAGAAAAAAAAUUUUAAAAAAAACGCUAGCGGGUCUUAACGGGUUCCAACGGGUAACCCGCGAACCCAUUGAACCCGCUAACCCGCCAUAGCCCGCCCACUACCCGCCCAUUUGCCAGGUUUAUGACGUAAGAAAGGAAAUGAAAUAAGAUCUGGAAGUCCCUACUUGCUCCAAACUGGCUGGAUGCACAAGUAGCUACACCACUUAAUAUAGUUGUCCAGGGACUUUAAAAAUACAUUUUGCACCGCAGCCUCAUCCAAUAUCUGCAAAAGACAAGGACAGAAGUCACAAUUUGCAACAUAAGAAUUAAUGGUUUACAACAAGUCUUCAAUAACACGUGGCACUGUAAUGAAAUAACUGGAUCCCUUAUGAAGACUUCUGAAUAAAAAUAAGAUGUGUGCUUUUCUUUUAGUUACCUUCAGUGAUAUGAUUAUCACAUUACAUUAGAAAUUUCAUUUAUGUAAAUCCCACUGUGGCCAGCACAUCAAAGACAGCCUUAUCCACAAAGUUUCUUAUCCAUACUAUAAUGUGCAGUAUUACCAUGUCAUGUGUCUGAAUUCCCUGAAGAACUUACAAAAAUCACUUCCGCAUAGGUACUAGACGACUAGGUAGAUAUAGUACACUAUACUGUGGUUGAUAUAAUGUCUAGGCCAGCAUUAAAUCAUGGAUAUUCAGUAUCAAAAAUAAGAUUCACAAAUGAUACCCACCAUACCACCCCAUCCUUUACUUCCACUGCCAAAACAUAUGUUCAAUGGUAAUACGACGAUGCCAUUCCAUCAUGUAGUUAACUAAUUCAACUAACAAGGAAUUAUGAUUGGAGACUUACAGGUUCAGUUUCAUCAGGAAUACGAAGCCGUGAUUGCUCAUUUGCAAGGAGGUGAACAAUAUGCUCACGCUGGUUAGAAACAUUGUCUUUCUGCAUAGAACAUGGAUCACAAAACCACUCAAAAAUUAAUGAAAUCAAAGAGAUUUUGAAGCAUACAACUGUCUGAUGAAAGAUGGAUGGAGAUUUGUUACAGAAGUAAAAAGAAAAAAAGUUAACUGAUUUGACACAGUUUUUGAAGCCAAAUAUAUUAUACUUUUCAUAAGAAAACCAGUGAAACCCAUGCUUAUGAAACCAUCCAAAUGGAAAUCACCAAAAAGCAGGAAAAAAGAGCCUACCAAAAUCUACCAUCAAACAUAGCUAACAACUGCCAAAAAACUGAAUUAAUUCAGGCAACUCAGCCAAUAAAAAAUAUAAAUAUCAAAUUUUAUAGUAAUUUUAUCGAAAGAGUAUAGAUGAUGCAAAACCAAACUUGAAAGCUUGGUUGAAACUUGAAACUUAAAGAAGUCAAAGGAAACUCGAACUCAGAGGAAAGUGUGAUCAAGAAGGUAUAAAGUAUAAACCUGAAAUCCGAAUACAUAAUGCAGGAAAUCAAGCAUGUCGGGCUCUCGUGUAGCAGGAAUUGGAAAAUCUGUUGGUAACUUUGGUAGUCCCCUGAAGUACUUUAACCCAGAAACUGCUGCUUGAACCUAACCAUAAUGUUCUUUAAUUAGAGUGUGCAAAAAUACCAAGCUUUUAACUAACCCAAAAGAAAAUACUAACCUCAGCCAAGGACAUGAUGAUAUUAGUAAUGCUAGGAGCAUCCAGUGGAAUAAUAUUGUACGCAAUUAGGUCUUCGGUCAUUGCGGCAUCUAACUCCAUCACCCGCUUGAGCUGUGAUGCAGAUAGACUAUAUUAUAGCAAGAGAUACUUAUAUGUGUAAUUCUACCAUAUAGCAACACAAAAUUGAACACAGACAGGAGUAAUUAUAUCAUAUACAAAUGAUUAUACUAAAACAUAUUUUAUAAUCUGUGACAAUAUAAAAGAGUUAAAAGCCCACAAGAAAGCAGAACAACCAAUAACUAGACAAGAAGCAAGACAUAUAAUUUAAAACUUACAUCAUAUUUUAACCAAACUUGAGAUAAAAGUUGUCCAAUUAUGUUUACGUGAUUCACAAAAGAUCAGCGAAAGUGUGAUAUUAGGUCUUUAAUAGGUCAAUUACAACAACUAGGCUUCAUACACAGAUUCAGAGAUCAGGUAUAGAAAAUUCAAUUCUUAUUUACACAGAGGAUGGUUAUAUGCAUUCAUAAGACUAACAGUGCUAUACACCCAACCUCUUCCGGAAUGUCCUCUGUCAGCUGCGCCAAAACUGUGCCCAAAACUCUCAGAGUCGCGAAUACUCUUUUCCUCUUCACUGUUUUCCUUUCUAGUCUGAUUUAAGAAUCAAAAUUACAAAAUGAAUUAGAACACCUAAAACAACAUGAAACAAUGAAAUUAUUUUUUCAAUGAUAAAGAGAGAAUAAAAUCUGACAGGAAAAACCCAGAGUCUGUACAACUGCAAAGCCUCAUCAAUCAUCAAUGAUGACAUUACACAGUAGGAGACAAUUAUACAUCAUAAGCAUAAAAAAUCCAAAACCUGAAAAAACUAAGACAUUACACUGUACUGUGGAGCAAGAGGAGAAAACAAAACAAACACCUAUAACUGUAGUAACUUACUCGCCCAGGUUUCCACUGGGAACACCAGACUCCCUCAACUGUGUUUCUUCCUCACGCAAUUGUUCAACAUUAUUCUUCUGUCUAUACAGUUUAUAGAACUCUUGUAAGCGAACAAUGUCCUGGCUUCUAUCUAUGGUUGCCCCCUCCCUCUUUGCAAGCUUUUGCUGAAAUUUGCUCCGAUGGGCAAAACAAAUCAAGUUAUAUCCAAAUGGAAAUGUAAUGCAUCCCACUGUAAGCAUGUAUGUAAAAGUAAAAUAAAAGUAUACUUUGAAAAAAAAAAAAAAAAACACAAAGAAAACAAACAGAGAGAGAUCAGCAUAUAGAAAUUCGAACAAUAUACAAUCUAAUUUGUAGUCAAGCUAAGUACCAAUAUUCUUCCCAUCCUAAAUAAUUCAUAAUGUAUUCUUAAAUAUCAAAUUAUGAACUUGGAUUCAAACAAACAAUUUAACAUGGGCAUCAUACAAUUAUCUAGACAAAAUGAGUUACUAGUGCAUCUCUUGCCACAGAAGUCAUAAGUGAAGAAGCUAUUCAACUGUUCAAACUUCAGACCCCUGAGAUCAACAUGUUUGAACAUCAGCUGACCAGAAGCAGUGCCUCAUAUUAAGCAAAUAAGUGAAGUCACCAAAGAGCAAUGAAAAUGCUUGCACAAGAUAGUCACAACUACAAAAAUAAAUAAAUAAAUCCAAUAUAUGAUAAAGGACGCAAAACCGGAAUGAUUAUUGAAGUAUGCUAUAUUAAGAAUGUACCUUAAUGACAGACAUCAAUCCAGUCUUGAACUGUAAUACUCCCCUUCCUUCACUAUUGGGGUCAAGAUUUUGGGCCAGCGAAUAACCAUGCUCACAUACUGCAGGAAAACCAUUGUAUAAAAAAUCUCAUUCAAAUAUGAGAAUGUGACCGUGGAAUUGAUGUAUUUCACACAUGUCAAUAUGUAGUUUUACAGGAAAAACUGCAUUUAAAUAAUUUCUUUCUCACUUCCCGUUUCUGAAACAAGAAUUAGGAUGAUUUUUCCAUCUAAAUAAUUAUAACGUCUGCCAUGAUACUUAACUUGCACAGAAAUAUGAUUCACUUCCCAAAAUGCACUCAGUUGAAAUAAACUACUAUAAAGAUAUUAGAAAACAGCUGCCUUUAAAUUCAAUGGCAGACUUUCCGUAGAGACAACAGAUACAGAUUCCCAGAAAGAGAACCAAUAUACAACCCUAUCUUGUCAUCACUCCACAGACACGCUAAAUGAAGUUAUGACAGUAUGCUCCCUAGAAAGAAAAUCAUAUUCCUGUACAUCUCAUCAAAGGUUCUUCUAGUCUUGAUUGUACUCUGGAGUGCUACUUAUUAGAAAUAUAUUUCAUGAAAACAAGGAGGAUGGACUUGGACUUCAUACAAGACAGAAUUAUGCAUUUAUCUUCUUUUCAGGUUUUGUGUACAGACAAUAAAAAUUGUAUAUGGCUAAGAGCUUGCAGGCACAAAUUCACAGGUUUAACACAGAGUAGGGGAUACAAAUUUAAACUAAGACGAUAAGAAGCAGAAGAAAGAGUAACAUACAGAUUCUAGAGAUAUUGGGAUCUUCAUCUUGAAUUUCAUCUGCAGCUCUGAGAAUCUCAUCAAUAUCCCUAUUAUUCGCAAGUGAUGACGGAACGUUUCCGGCAAUGCCAGUACCAUGCCUCCCAUACAAAUCAGGCCCCAUCCUUUCCCUCCUUAACACUGCGCGGACUAAGCGCUCCCAUCGCUCCUCAACUCGAGCCAUUUUCUGCAAAAUCACAACACAUUAUCAACAAAUUCCCACGCCGAAAGUCAAACCGGAACAAUUCAACAAUCGAAAACGCCCAAUGGCACACAUUCUCCUAAUCACAGCAUUUACUGAUUCUCAAUUCCAAUUUAUAACACAAAAAGAUACCGAAUAAUCGAGAAUUUAACUCCAGAAAAGCUCCAUCUACUGCUAGGUUAACUGAAGACUAACUAUAAUCAAAUAUCGCAACUAUAUCUAAUUGAAUUUUAAAUCCAAGCCAACUCUGACACUUGAAGCUAAAUCCGAGCUAAGCCUCUGAAAUUUGAAACCCUAACACACACACACACAAGCAACGAACAACAACGAGAUCCUUCUAAUCCCUAAGCUUCAACUCAUUUUUCUCAGCGAAAAGCUAAAGCGAAGAGAAUCGGACGUACCGGAUUGGAGAAACGAGGAGUGAAUGCGAAGCCCUAGCGGGGCGAGUUGACGGCGAGUUGAAUCAGUCUCCGAUAUCGGCGCUCUGGGUUUUUGAUUUCAUAGAGAGAGAGAGAGAGAGAAGGCGAAGAAGGCGGAGGAGGUAAAUGUGGGUUUAAAAACUGAAGAAAAGGGCAAAGAGAAAGGGGAGAGAAAACAGAACGAAUCUGAUUGUAAGAGAAAAGGGGCGACCGGCGUUACCGGGUAUAGCCGGUUCGGUCGAGUUACGGGCUUUUGGGCUUGGGUCUUUCACCCACGUUGCUCAGUUUCACGCGGAGAAGAAAACUCGUGGGCACGUGAGCCGCGUGUGACCCAUUACGCUCUUUUCUUUCUUGGUUAGGAAGGAAAUCUAGUUAAGGAAGCCACACACCCAUGAAAAGGUUUCGUUGCUUCCUUUUGAAAGUGACUUUUAAUGCAUCAAUGAGAACGAAAUGUGAUAACAAUGACUCGACCUCAAUGUGAUCCGACGCAAUCAAAGUUAGAAUAGGGUCUAGUGUGGCAUCUUUGAGGUGAAAGUGAAGUCGAUUAAUACUACUCUAUCUUGCCCUAUUCGGUUCCUCUUGAUAAAGAUUUUAGAAGUCCUCAAUCUUUUCUAAAUCAUUUUUUCUCUUUUCUAGUUACAUUAUGAAAAGUAAAACUCGGAUGUCUAAUGAGAAAACUAAUGUCACUACACCCAAUUAAGGCACCUUACUAGUAGCGACGUGUUGAGGAAUGAGUUGAAAGUGUUGAACGACUACAUCUAAACGGGUCCUUUGGUGUUUGCGACCUUAAAAAGGCCCUCAUGCAACUGGUUAGGGUUUAGCCCAUACCACAUGGGCCCAGUUUCCCUUUGCUACCAUAAUUUUCAUUUCAGCCAAUUUGCUACCCUAUUUUUUCAUAAUUAGCCAAUUUAUUAUUCUAACUAUUAAAUCUGUCAAUUUGCUACCCUUCCAUCAAAUUUGCUACUUUAGGUUUUUUAAGAUUAAUCAAUUUACUUAUCAAAAUUUCAAUAUCGAGAUAUCGACCAACUAACCUUCGAUUUUCAUAAUUAAUUCAUAUUUAGAUGAAGAAAUAAACAAAAUAAAAUGACAAAAAUUGUAGCAAGUUGGCUAAUUUUGAAAAUAUAAGAUAUCAAAUUGGUAAAAAUAAUAGUUAGUGUAGCAAUUUGGCUAAAAAACCUUUUGGAGAUGCUUUUCUUGGUUGCCUUGGCGGUGACUUAAUCUUAUGUGACGAAUGUCCAUCAUCAUUUCACAAGAGUUGCCUUGGAUUGAAGGUAGCUUCUUCUUCUUCUUCUCUAUCAAUCUUUUGUUUUUUUUGUAUUUCUUUUCUCAUUCACCAGAACUUAUUAUACUUUUGAUGAUCACAAGUUUGAGAUUCUUACCUACUUCAUCUUAAUUGGUCUUUCCUCUACAGUAUGUUCCAAAGGGUGAGUGGUUCUGUCCAUCUUGCCGUUGUGGAGUAUGUGGCCAAAGAAAAGAAGACAAAAGAACCUAUUACUCAUCCUGAUAUUCUCACCUGUGGUCAGUGCGAGCACAAAUGUAGGUUCAUUUUCAUCUGUUCAAAUCAUCCAAAACAUUGUUUAGUAAGGGUCCUUUUUUUGUGUGGAUUCUGUUAGCUACCGUUCCCUCACCUUAUUGUUGUCCCUUUAGAUUGGUAUUAUAUUAUCGUUCAAUAUUAGAUAGGAAAAUACUUGUGCUUAGAUAAUAUCUGCGGAAGCUUCUCGUGCAAACAACUUACAAAGCCACAAAUAGGUAUAAUCUACAACUUUCAGUUGUAUGCUGUUAGACUACAGCAGAUGGAUGAAAAUAAAAGACAGAGACAAGAAGAGAGUAUGUGAAAGGGAAAUAUUUAGUGAGUGGGUUUUAGAGGCAGGAAGAGAGUAUGUGAGGAAUCCAAAAUUCUGUUAUAGAUGACCAGAAGAAAGAAGUUCUAGGUUCCCAUAGAAUUUUCAAGGUUGAUUUUACCAUCAAAUUGUUUAAUCUUUUCAGUUUUUUAUCUUUUGAAGAGAAUCUUUUCACUUUUUAAAAUGCUGAAAUUGUCCAAUCUUUGAAUUGCAUCUAGUUUUUGAUCUAUUUGUUAAGUUGGUAACUUGCUGUUGAACAUUGGAUAUCUAAGAAAUUUAAGUCUUAUAAGGGUUGGUUAUGUCAGAUUGAACAUGGAAAUUAGAACUCUAGUUUGAAGUUCCAGAGUUGUUGUUGUUUUUUAUUUUGAUUUUUCACAAGUUACUGGUUUUAUGAUAUUGAGUUGCACAUAAAGUGUUCAAUAACAAUUUAAAUACAUUUGUGUGCUAUGAAUAGAUGCCUGACUAUUCACAAGUAACUUGACUUUCUAUUCUUCGAAGUGUGUUUUUUAAUGGUCUAAUUGGUAUGCCGUAAUUGUCGACAUUUUGAAUCAAGGAUUAAAUUCAGUUUGCCCCCUCGUGCUUUAGGUCAAUAAUUAGUUUGGUCUCAUAUCUUUUUUUUUAAUACAGUUGGUCCUUGUACUCUCAAAUGACAUCAUUUAAGUCCAAAAUUCGAAUUUUAGUGCAAAAAUGGGUGAGUUUGGUCCUUGAAAAAUGAUUUUUUUUUCACCGUUAGAAUGUUUAUUUGCCCUAUUUGUAGGUUAAAAAGCUCAAAUAUGGAUCCCCAUGUCCAGUUUCAAGUCAGCAAAUAAUUAUUAUUUUUGAAGCCAAUUAUUAAAAUUUUGGACUUAGUUGAUGAUNNNNNNNNNNNNNNNNNNNNGUUAUUAAAAAAAAGAUAUAUGACCAAACUGAUUAUUGACCUAAAGUACAAGGGGGCAAACUGAAUUUAAUCCUUGAAUCAAUUGCAAAUCAGUUCACGUACUAUAUUAUUUUCAAAGCUCAGUAAAGUAGUUUAUAUUGUAGUUUAUAUUGUGAAUCAUAUGUACAAAUGAAGAGACAUGAUUAUAUAUCUGAGAACUCAUGGCUACUGCUAAGAGAGCAUUAAAUUUUUCUAUGUUUUAGAAUUCUCUAGCCAAAGAGAGUGGUGUUGCCGUGUUGGUGUGCACAUUUAGCAUGCAGUUGACGGCUAAUAAUAACAAAAUAAACUCAUUGUGGCACUUCAAAGAGUCUAAUUUUUCUUUUUAAAUUUCCCAAUUGUGUAGAUCACACUGGGUGCUUGAGAAAAGGAGGUGUCGAUAUGUCGGAAAGUGAAUCCAAAGGAAAUUGGUUUUGCAGCAAGAAUUGUAAAAAGGUAUCUCAAAGUCAAAGAUGCUAUCAAUAUUAUGUUAGUUUACUUUUGGAUUUAAUUUCCUUUUGUCUCAGCUUUUGCAAGAAAAAUUCCUGAAGCUCAAAGUUCUCAAAAAAAAAAAUUCCUGAAGCUCAAGGGAAAUUUAAGCCUAGGAACUGCUAUGGGAAACUGCUUCUUGUCUAUUCCUAUUUUUUUUCCCUUCAUGUUGAUGGUGUGGGAUAUGACAGUUUCAAAUUUUCAGAUAUCUUUGGGGCUCCACAAGCUUUUGGGGAAACAAUUUUCCGUCGGUGUUGGGAAAUUAACUUGGUCACUUCUGAAGUCCAUGAAAAGCGAAACUGAUAAUGAUGCCAUUACGGAGAGUUUUAGCAGGCUUAGUAUUGCCCUUGAUGUAAUGCAUGAGAGAUCUUGCAGAAGAUAUCAUUUUCAGUAGAGGGUAAGAACUGCUUACCGUCAUCUCACAUCUUGCAGGCAUCACUAGUUAAAAUGCUGCUUUUUGGUAUUCAGCAUUUGUUUAUUUAUUAAUUACUGUCUAAUAACCAGUUCUGGAAAUUUGCAGGUCAAAUCUCAGUCGCUUGAACUUUCAAGGGUUCUAUACCUCGCUAUUGGAGAGAAAUGAUGAGCUAAUCACUGCAGAUACUGUAAGGUGAGCUUUAUUCAGCUUGUUUUGAAAUGGAUGACCAUUCUAUACCUAGUAUAUUGUUUCUUAGUUGCUCUUUUGUUGUUCAAAGGAUUCAUGGAGAGAAGGUGACUGAAGUACCUCUUGUUGCUACCAGGUUUCAAUAUCGUCGACAAGGAAUGUGUCGUGUGUUGAUAAAUUUACUUGAAAAGGUAAUGUACGGAGUGUUCCUGCAGUUUGUUUCCACUCUUGGAUCUGAUACAUACUUACAUCCAUAACUUCUUGAUUACUCUAUCGAUUCUUAUUAUUGUCUCCAAAUCUUUGUUUAGAUGCUUAUGGAUUUAGGUGUGGAGAGAUUGGUUUUGCCUGCUGUCCCCAGUGUGUUAAACACAUGGACUACUGCAUUUGGGUUUUCAAGAAUGACAAAAUCUGAGAGGCUGCAAUUUCUGGAUCAUACGUUCCUGGACUUUCAAGAUACAAUAAUGUGUCAAAAACUUCUAAUGAAGAUCUCUGCAGCCGAACCAAGCCUGUUAAUAGGUAUCUUAUGUUCUUGAACUCUUUCCUCUUUCUCUUUGCCACAUAGAACUAUGAUAAGAUGUACAGUAUCCAUGCUAACUGUAACAUGUGAUUUUGCAGGAACAAAGCCUCAGAUGUCUAGAAGUGCUGAUAUUGUCGAUCUUGAUGAGUCCAGUGCUGCCUCUGAAGUGUGUCAACCGGAACGAACAGAGGACAGCCAAACCGUAUCCCAGGGACUUGAGUAUGUCUCACUUCUUCCGACUAUAAAUUUAGAUGGAAAUGAACACAAGAACCCUCAUGAAAUGAACACAAAAUUCACUAGUACUGUAGUAGAGUAGCUCAGAUCGUGGUCAGACAGAAUCGUUUCUGCAUUCAGUUUGAAAAUUAAGGCAGUUCGGAUAAAUUACUAUAUACUAAAUAGAAACUGCAAAAUCACGCUAUAAAAUACCCUGCCCCUUAGUUUUAGUUUACAUUCCAACUUUUAAGUUACAAGCCUAAUUUCGGCCAUAACGUUCUUGUUCCACUACAGAAGUACUUCAGGCAAAAGGAGACCAUGCAUUGAUAAGAGCUGUCCAGAGUUCAAGCAGUACAAGCGAAAGCGGAUAUCAAAUUUAGGGCAUCUCCAACAAUGGCUGUCAAACCCAAACCCAUACUCAAAACUCAUAAAAAUUCAUCUCCAACAAUUCAAACCCAUACCCAAUUAUGGGUUCCUACUACACAGACGACCCAAAAUGGGUCGAGUUGCAAGGAGGAAACCCAAAACUGCAGGCGCGGGACCCAGACGGCAGCAGAAGGCAGCAGGCUCACGUGAGAGACUAGGCAGCGGCAGGUGCUACGCGCGGCGUGGAGAACGCGCACUAAAGACAAAAAAACGGGCAGCCAGGAGCGCGCGUGAUCUGGAGACGCGCCAAUCAAGUGUGAAGGAGAGAUGCACACCUGCGGCUGAACUCACGUGAGCUCUGUUCUGACCCUCCAACGGUCCAAAAACGCUCGGCCCAGAUUGAAUGAUCAUUCAAAAUUAAAGGUCCAGAAAAAAUAGGCCGAAAAUAUAAUAAUUUGAAUGAAAAAAACUUGAAAAAUAAGAAAAAAAGUUUUAAGAAAAUAUAGAAAAUUAUUUUGCCCGUUGGAACAGUAUUUUGCACUAAAAUGUCAAUAAAUACCAUCCCCAUUCUUCAUAAUUUUUCACUCCAAAACUUCUCUCCUCCUUCUACACUUUAAUUUUCAUAAUUGCUCUUCAUAUAGCUAGUUUUCAAAUCUUUUUUUUCCUUCAAAGAUGUCCAACCCCAAACCUAGAGGAGAGGCUUGGAAAAACCCCGAAGAUGUAUCGUUGUGCAUGGCGGUGGUCGCGGUUGGUGAAGAUGGUGACAAAGCUACCAGUCAAGAGAAGAAAAAUUUAUGGGAUCGUAUAUGGGAAGUGUAUGAAGCUUGCAAGCCACCCAGUUCCGUUAUUAGAUCGGGAGGAGGGUGUGAAGCUCGUUGGAGAAAGAUUAGGCCGGGUUGCACAAGGUGGCGUGAAGCUCUUACCAAAGCGGAGGCCGCUCACGCAAGUGGUGAAAAUGCCACCGACUUGGUAAUCAUUUAUUUGUUUAUAACCGGUAGUAUUUAUUUGUUUAUAACCCAAUAUAAGUAAUUUGCUAAUUAAUAUUAGUUUAUUUUUAUGACAAUUACUAUCUACUUGUUUAUAAUCACUAAUACAUGUCUAUAUAUUAUUUCUUGUAUGAAUAUAUAGGAAGUGCAAGCUAGGUCGAUAUAUCGUACAUUGUCUUUGGGGGAGGAGUUUAAAUUUGCGCAUUGUUGGUCAAUAUUAAAGGAUACAGAAAAGUUUAGCAAACCUCCGUCUUUGGAUGAGGAAAUCUCUAGUGGUCCGUCACCUAUUGACUUGUCCGGAGAAGAUACACCUAUUGAGGGAACCCCAAGCCCUUCAAAUGUGCAUGCACGCCCUCCAGGCCAAAAAGCUCAAAGGGCUGCUAAGAAAAAAUGCAAGCAAGAUGACACAUCUCAACUCUUAGCUCAAAUGAAAAGAAUUGCGGACCAAGGAGAUCGUGAUCUCAAACACAGACUACAACUUAGGGAGGAGACUAGACUUGCACAAGAACGUGCGGAUGAUGCAGCCACAAUGGCGGUGGAUCCAUCAAAAUUUCCCGCCCCAAUUAGGGCUUAUUGGGAAAGGAAGCAAGCUAUGGUUAUUGAGAGGGAGGAACAAGCUUACAAUGCCGGAUUACACCAACCACUUGCUUCAUCUGAAGGUGAAGAUGACCAUGUAUUAAUUGUACUUUGUUGCCUCUAUUUUAAUUUCAUUUUAGUAUUUUAAUUUAUGAAAUGAAUAUGCUUUGACUUUCAAUUAUAAUUAAUGAGUAAUUUAUUGCUUUUGUUAAUCUCAAUUUUAUUUAUCAAAUUGCAAACAUUACAAUAAUACUAAACACACAAACAACAAAUAAAUAAAAGAAGCAAACAUACAAACAUAACACACCAUGGCAUAUCGCCAAUUAUUGAAAGCAAACAUACAAACACUUCACAUGCAUGAUAAAAACAAUACUAACACGAAUCUUAAAUUCAAUCACGAGUAUCGAUUGUAUGUAAAAAUAGCAAGUAAUUAUUUUUUUAAAAUAAAAAAAUUAAUUUAAUUUUAACUAGGACAACAUAUUAUAUUAAAUUAUUAUGUAUGAUUUAUAUAAUUUAUUUGUUGUUAUAUAAAUUAUUUAACCCUAAACAUUAUAUAUGAAAUUUAUUUAUUUGUUGAUGAUCAAAACCCAUACUCAUACCCAUACUCAUACCCAAAUUAUAUAAAAUGAUUAAAAUUUGGGUAUGAGUAUGAGUUUUGAUAUAAUGGUUGGAGAUUAAAUAUGAGUUUGAAUAGUAAUGGGUUUGGGUAACUCAAAAUAUGGGUAUGGGUUUGGGUAUGACAACUAUUGUUGGAGAUGCCCUUAGCUGCCGUAGUUGUUUACAGUAGACAUUUAGAAGAGAGGAAAGUUUGUGUGCCGUAGUUUCCUAUAGCGGCCUGUAUUCAAUUUUCUGAAGUUAGCUCAUAAUUUUGAAGGGCCAAGUGUAAAAGAUGUGUAUUCCAUACUUAAAGGGCUCCUUUUGUCAAUGAAAUGUUGGUAGAUUCACUUCGGGUCUUCAGAGUUGGAACAAAUAUAUCAUUGAAUGCAGGCCCGGACCUGAGAUUUUAAGGCCUGAUUCGAACUCUCAGAGUUGAGCCCCUAAUUUUUUUUUCAUAUACAAAAUAACAUAUAGCAUCCAAAAAUAUUUAAUUUAUAAUUAAUAAUAUAUGUUUAUAUAAUUCAGUCAAUUGCUUUUGGGCCCCUCAUCACAUGUGAUUGCCCUUAUUUUAGAAUAUUUGUCUUUAAUUCAUGUCAGAUGUCUUCACUUUUCAUUAAGUUUUAAUUUACCUCUUUUCCAUACUUGUCUGAUUAAUUGCACAAUAAAAAACUAUAAUUUUUUUUUUCUGGACAACUAUAAAAAAUAUUUUUAGGCCUCUUAGAUUUAUGAGCCCUGAGUCACAAGACUCUUCUGCCUCUAUUCAAAUCCGGGCCUGAUUGAAUGCAGUUAACCUGCCAAAUCCCUAGACGUCUGAUUCUUUAAUUUAAAAAAAAAAAAGAAUCUUUCUCAAAAAGAGUAUGGACAUAGAACAUCUUUACUCUUUAAUAUACGACGUGUAUUUACAUAUAUAUAUAUAUAAACAGUUAAAAUUAUAUAAUACUGUAAAAAUAUGAUUGUCAACAAAUGAAUUAUAAUUAUUAUUCCAACAAGAAUUUCUUAUGCGACAAGUAAAAGGCUAAUUCAACAACGAUGUUCAUCCAAGGCUAACACUUAUAACACGGCCUACAGUUAACAAAAGGCCUAUAAUUUGGGCGAACAAACACUUCCAUCAGCAAUCGAAUCAUCUUUUCUUUCUUUCAAGUUGUUGAAUUGAGCGUGAAGAAUUGGUGAAGAUGAUGUGCAAAUCAGUUGUGCGUUUCUCUUGUUAUUCUUAUUGCAACAGCAAUGGCACAGGAGGUAUUCCAUUUCUUCACUCUACCCUUAUCGCUGCUUUGUUUCAUUCUCAACCCACAAGCAUAUCUAGAGAAAACCAUCGACCCUUGCCUAGAGUGAGUAAUGUUGAGGAUGCCCUGAAGGUGUUCGACGAAAUGCUUCAGAGACGUCCUCUGCCGUCUGUUGUCCGUUUCACUCAGAUAUUGGCUCCUCUUGUCAAACUCAAGCACUAUGCAACAGUCCUCUCUUUGAAUUCACAAAUGCUUCUCUCUGGAAUCGCUUCUAAUUCUUAUACUCUUUCCAUUGUCAUCAACUGCUACUGUUGUUUGAACCGACUGGACUAUGCCUUGUCUGUCUUGGCCCACUUCUUCAAAUUGGGUCUUCAACCAGAUGUUGCAACCUUCAACACUCUCAUCCACGGCUUUGUUCUCCAAAAUCGAGUGGCUGAUGCAGCGCGACUUUUCAGCAAAAUGGUGGUGGGAGGUCAUUGCCAGCCGAAUGUAGUUGCUUUCAACACACUAAUCAAGGGCUUUUGCGCAAUGAGAAACAACACUACGGCUAUUCACUUACUGCGCAAGAUGGAAGCAAAUGGAUGCCAGCCUGACAGAGUGACGUAUAGCACCAUCAUAGACAGUCUCAGCAAGGAUACACUGGUUGAUGAAGCAAAGAACCUCUUCUCUGAAAUGAUUGGUAGAGGGAUUGCUCCCAACGUUGUUACUUACACCUCAUUGAUUCAAGGAGUCUGCAAUAUUGGGAGGCGGAAAGAAGCUUGGAGGUUGUUGAAUGAAAUGGCGAGUCAAGGUAUCUUUCCAAGUACUAUCACCUUCAAUAUCCUGGUUGAUGGCCUUUGUAAGGAAGGGAGGGUUGCGCAAGCCAAAAUUAUGGUUCAGAUUAUGAUUCAAAGAGGAGUUGAGCCUGACACAAUCACAUACAGUUCCCUUAUUUAUGGUCACUGUUUGCGAGGAGAAAUGGACGAGGCGAAACAAGUUUUUGAUCUAAUGGUUGCCAAGGGCUCCAUGGUUAAUGUUCAUAGCUGUCGUAUAUUGAUUAACGGAUAUUGCAAGCAGAAAAAGAUUCAUGAGGCAAAAGAAGUUUUCGACGAAAUGCUUCUUAGAGGACUUGUUCCUGAUACCGUUAUUUAUAGCACUCUAAUUGAUGGUUUUUAUAAAGCGGGGAGACAACAAGAGGCAGAAAAGUUGUUCUCUGAUAUGCAAGCUUCUGACCAACUUCCAAGUAUUCAAACUUAUAAUGUUAUACUUGAUGGCCUCUGUAACAACCAACAGCUUUCUAAGGCAAUUUAAUUGCUUAGAGAGAUGGAAGGGAACAAGUUGAAAGCAGAUAUUGUAGCUUACAGUAUUAUCAUUGAAGCUUUGUUCAAAGCUGGGAAAAUUGACUCUGCAACAGACGUCUUCUCUGGUUUGUCAUCGAAAGGAGUAUUGCCUGAUGUAUGGACAUACAGUAUAAUGAUCAAGGGACUUUGUGAUGGUGGCAUCUUUGUUGAAGCAGAAAAGUUGUUUAGAGAAAUGGAGCAAAAAGGCUGUUCUGCUGAUGGCUGCACCUAUAACACAAUUAUCCGAGGGUUUCUCAAUAACAAUGAGACAUUGAGGGCUACAAGUCUUAUUGAAGAAAUGUGUGAGAGGGGUUUCUCUGGAGAUGCAUCAACUAUGGAAUUGAUUUUUGAUUUGUUGUUAAAGGAUAAAGUUGAUCCUGUAUUAUCAGCAUGGCUUAAAGAUUCAGUCCGAAGUUAAAUGAAUACUUGAAAUUUGAAACUAUGUCCAAAGUUAAUAUCAGUAGCGAAUUAUCCAUAGUCCACUUUCUAACUGUUUGUUGCAGAGGAUCUCUCCCACUGUAUGUUUGCGUAAUAUAUUGUUGUGGUUUUGUACUAACAGUUGUUUCACCAUAUUGAGAAUGCCAACUAUGAGGUUGCUGCAUCAGAGCAGAUUCAGGAGAUUGUUUGAAUCAGAACAUGCAUCAGUUAUCCAAUGUAGCUUGUUUCAGGACUACUAGGUUAUCCUGGCUCUCUAAUCUCUAUGUAUCUAUUUUUUGUUGUUGUAGUGCAUCAUCUGCAGAAUGGAAUUGUAUGUUAUCGAAAGAAUGGAACUGUAUGAUUAAUGCUAAUUAGCAAUAUGAUAAGGCGUUAAUCUGAUGUUCAAAUUUUGUUUGACGUUUGCGCUUUGCUUCAGAUUGAUGAGAUAGAUGAAUUUGUAUGUGUUGUAAUAUAUCUGUAAGAUAUGCUGUGACUAAUUGUAGCAUAAAAAUAUUAGGGAUGUAUCCAGGCGGGCAAGGCAAACAAGGUUGCCACCCUUCCGGUUCAUGCGGCGGGUGCUGAGAGAUCUCAGUUUCUGAUGUUAACUGGAUUCAACCCAAGGUCAGUUCAAGCUGUAAAAGUACAUUUUAGUUUUUGUCCUUCAGAAAAGCAUUAAGAAGCAAUAUUUGUAAUUUUGUUUUGUUUGGCUGCGUGGAACUUUGAAAUGUUUAGGUUUAGUUAUAGAGUAGCUGCAAAUUUAUUCUCUUAGAAGGUUGAUGAGGUCGACAUAUUAAUUCUGUGCAGCAUAAUCAGCAUGCUGCAAUCACAAAAUUGCCAUUUUAAUUGAUUUUUCUGGUUUACAGUGCUUUCAUGCUUUGUGUUCAUUUGUAUCAUCGUUGGGUGGAGUUUUAGAAUACUUCCCUGAUGUUAAAGACUGCCUCUUUGAAUAAGAUACUUCAAAUACUGAGGUUUGUUAUCUUGAUUUACUAAUUCGAACCAAUGGUGAACUCAAAAUAGGCGUUUGUGGAGCUACCAUACAACCAGUGGGGCCUGCCAGAGAAAUAUUGAAAUUAAUUUGCUCACUAACAUUCUUUUGUGCCCCCACUGUUAUGACUUACGAAUGCUAACUAGAUGAUGAGUUAGCCAUUAUCUUCUAUUUCUGAUGGAACUAGAUGAUAACUAGCAUUCUCUUUCUCUUCUGUUUAUUGUAUUUGGGCUUUAGUCUUUUUGACUGGGCUUUGAGACUCUGUCCCACACCACUUCUUCUCCUCGUACAGUCAUACCUCCUCCAUAAUAUGAUGAUUAUGAUCUCAUUAGCUUUGUAGUUACAAUUCUCCCCUCUUUUUCCUCUCCACGUGUUUCCUCACUCUCUUCUAUCGUUCUGUGUUGUGCACAUCUCUUUCUUUCUGGUUAGGAAGGAAGGAAAUCUAGUUAAGUAAGCAAGCCACACACCCAUGAAAAGGUUGAGGAAUGAGUUGAAAGUGUUGAACAUCAUCUAAACGGGUCCUUUGGUGUUUGCGACCUUAAAAAGGCCGUCUCAUGCAACUGGUUAGGGUUUAGCCCAUACCACAUGGGCCCAGUUUUAGUGGCACUCAUCUCAAAUCCUAUAUGGCUAGUGGUGGUCCAAGUGUGCACUGACCCAAGAACCUAAAUACAGGCCCACUUGUAGCCCUAUUGACAUUGUACCAGUUUUCACCAUACGAUGCUCAUUUUUCUUGUGCUACAGAGCUCAAACACAGUAGGUUCUCUACAUCACUGUAUUGCAAAGAAUGAAAUGAUAGACGACCAUCCAUCCUAAGGAAGAUAAAUGAAAGCUAGAUAUAUAUGCAUCUUAACUCGAUCAGUCAUAAUGAACUAACAAAAAUGCAGCCCAUCAUAUUCAUAAUUACAACAGAUAACAAGAUCUUGUUUAACUAGUCUUGUGACCCUAGCCAUCCAAAAAUUAGCUUCAAUGUUGAUCUUGUUAGGCGUAAGGUCACUCCUUGUUCCGGGUUGAACGAUCCUUACGUUGUCCGCCAAGAAUACGAGAAAUCUGUAGACCUCUACUGAACGCUUGGUUGAAGAGCAUACGUGUUUGAAAUUCCGAAACAAAAGGAAACCAAGCCAAGAAUGCAACUGGGGUGAACAGAAGCAAGCCCAUAACUAUCUCAAAGCCACGAGCUAGAGUCCUAACUGACGGCCAUAGACCAGCUUUUUGAACAAGAGGCUUGCAAGCUUGGGCAAUCUAAUAACAGAAACAAGAACACGAAAGAGCACAUUAGGAACUCUGAGGGCACAGAAUUACAAGACGGUAAGACACAAUGAUGACUUGACGUACCAUAAGCAUCCCCCAACCAGUUGGCAUGAAAGCAAGAAUGCAAACAAUGAUGUCUUGCAGGGUCAUGUGAGGUAGCACAAUCAAAGUGACCAAAAUGGCCACAAAAGUCACAAAUAUCAAUCCCUUAAUCAGCCGGAAUACAAGUUGGUACUCAGCACUGAACUUUCUCCUACCAACAGAUACAGUCUGCAAGGGAAAAAAUACAAUAAUUUAUGAGCUUGUUAAACAGCGUAGAAAACACAGUGCAGCGUCAUAUGUAAAUAUGAUAAUAAAUCCAAAACUAAAAUACAGCGCAACUAGACAGGUCCUUACACAACUCAAACCAAGACCAAUAAAAGUUGUAACCAGGUUUCAUUGCAUGCAAGCAAUUUGUAGGACAAAUCAACCUUUUAUUUUGAUUAGUUCCAGAACGUAAGAAAUUUUAAACUUGUUUUCUAUUGAAUUCUCUCUUCUAUGGUUUUAUUUAUAACAAGGGUGAUUGAAAUUAUUUUUCUCAAAACAAUCUGUUCGAAAUCAGAUCUAUGCACUAAAUAUAACUCCUCCCAGCAAGACUAUCACAAAUUAUUGCUUUUGACAAAGCAAACCCCAAGGAUAUGCAUCUCACAUAUUUUGUGGACGAUGAACAGAGGUUUUUUUUCAAUGGAUAAUCAAGCAGAAAAAAAGAAAAAAAAAAAAAAAAAAAACAAAAAAACUAAAGACUCACCUUCAUGACAAACAAAAUAAGGACGAUCACCAGCCAUGAGAUACCAUAGACCUGAUACGAAAUGAAAAUAAGUUAACAUUUGCAAUGUUCUGUAAGAGUGAUAGGGAGGAAAGACAGAAGGAGAGAGGUCUACAAUUUACCAGGACACUCUUGGUCUUCUUUGCAAUGUUUAAGUGAUAUACGAGCCCAUACUGAUAGAUAAAGAAUCGUAGAGAUAGCAGUAUCUCAGCUACAAUACCACGUUUUCCAGAAUACCGAAGAUGUUCUUGUUCCUCCUCCCACCAUGAUUCCCAACUUUUUUCAGGUGGAACACCUAUACCUCCACGGUUGCUUAUCCACUUAUUCCAAUCAGUCCAAUCAUCAACAAUUUUUUGCCACUCAAAACCAGAAGGAUUGAACAGAAAGGGAGCAAAAAGCCAGGUAACCACCAUAAACCACAUAGAUACAGUUAUCAAAAUGUAGGCAACAGCACUUCUGUAAGUAUGACCAAAGAUCUGGUAUACCACAAGUAAAAUCAGGAGCUCAAUACCCUUCACAAAGUGGCUGCGGGAGUAAAGCCUAUAGUUGUCAGCAAACUUGGCAUGGAACACAACAAACCCACGACCAGUAGAUCUAUAUUUGGCACCACCAUGCAGUAAUGUCCGUCCAUAAUAGUGGGUCUUUGUUCCAAGUGAGAAUGUGAAAAAUACAGGGGCCAGUUGCAAUUGCAUCAAUAUGAAUUCACUCAGUGCAGUUCGGAAACCCUUUUCCAAACCAAUUUCCAUUAACAUAGGCAAAGCCAUCAAGAAUCCUAUUUGGACAAAUGAUUGUGAAGCAAGAGCAACCUGAAGAGGCUUAUUAUCUCGAAUUGCUUCUUGAGUGUUUAAACCUUCUUCAAGUCCACUAAGAACCAGGUAGAGGCGACCAUAAAGGAAGACAUAAACUGUAAGCACAGUGAUCUGCCAGAACAAUACAUAUCUGGGGUGAGAACCUUCAACUGACUACAUAAUAUUUGAAAUCCAUAUACAGAGCAUAUGACAUACCAGAGUACUGUAGUAGAAACCAAUUGUGGUGAAAUAGCAUGACAACAUACGGAAAAAGUCAAAACGAUGUCCAAGUCGGUAUAUAUCUCGACUGAGCGUCUGCUCGCCAUUGCCAUUAGCAAUUUUUGCCUCGAACAUGGAGAUUUGGUUAAGACCAACAUCUCUCCCCUUCCCCACUUGUAUGUAUUCAUGAUGAGUUACAUUGCCUUCACGAAGAGUGGAAUUAAAGCCUGCAAUCCCAAUCAUAUGAUAAGAUUACCAUAUCCCAGUUGUAUAUUGCACUAUUAAAUAAAUGUUCGCUCAAGCGUCAUAAUCAUACCAGCAAAAAUGUCUUCACUCAAAUUAAUAACCUUGGAUGCCUUACUGACACCCCCUCUACUAAGGUGAAAGAGUCUGUCAAACACAUCAGGAUGGCCAUAAUGAAAUCGAACCCUGGAUGAGCAGAAGAAAUUAGCACAAUUAAAUUUACAGUCCCAACAAAAAGAGAACACAUAGGUUCAAAAAAUUAAAAAGGAAAACAAAGAUAAAUUAAUGGAAGCGCAUGCUUGGCGCACGGAAUUUUUUUUUUCAGACAACUUGGGCACAAACAAAUAAGUGAAUAACCCAUCAUACAUCAUGACUGCUUUGGGACCAGUGAGGCAGUGACCCAUCACACAACAGUGAUGUGCUACAACUUUCAGUUGCAAGUUAUUUUCCCCCAGAUUCAAGAAGUAAUAACUUACUUGAGAGGGUUGGCCAGAAGUCUUUGACCAAUAGUCACAAAACUGUUCUCCUGAUUUGACAUGAACCAAGCUAGAGAGGAAACACUGCAUUGGAUCAUGAAAGAGGAUUAGUGAUACAUAGUUAUAAUCAGUUCAUCAAAAAGCAACAUGCCUUUAGUAGGAUUAGUGACAGCAAAACCUACCUUCCUGUAAAUAUAUGCUCCCUAAGUCCAAGAAUUGUAGGGUGUCUCACGCCGUCAUGCUUGAGAAAUUCUUGUAGCAAAUUCCUCAUUUUCAAAGCUUCUUCCAUGUAGUUAUCCUACAAGAUCAGGCGUAUCAACUAACAUUGUACAAUGGGGGCACAGGCUGUGCCAGCUAGUGAUUAAUACAUGUAUAUAUUUCAUUUAUUACACAUUCAUUAUUAUGGCGUGGUCAUGCCACUUUCAAAGAAUGACAACUUUGUCAGUAUAUUCAAUGCGAAAGCUAGCAAGCUUCAAGUUCAUUUUUGUUGUUCUUUUUUUCUUUGUUCUUUUUGCUCUUUUAUACUUGCAUCAAAAUAAACUUGUCAAAUCAAUGAUCAUUCAUUUAACAACUUUAUUUUGAUGGUACCAUGUUUAAAUGAAUGAUCAUUGUUUAAUGGGUAAUGUCCCAGAUCCAACAGAUUUUUAGUUAACCACCAUACCUGGUUCAUGUCAAUUGUUUGCAAGCCUUCCCCACGUGUGAAAAUAAUGGCAUGAUUUUGAUUUUCUGGCUUUCCCUCUCCCAAGAUAGCAGGUCCUGGAAGCUUUAUGCGAUAUAUAACCUGCAAGAAUACCAUUUGUCAGUUUCUUAGAAAAAUUAAAUGAGGAACCUGAACACACUAUGGGCUUUGAAUAAAGAUAUGGAUAUUGAGGAUCAAACAUGUACCACAAAAACAUUUUACAGUCCAUAAGAGUUGAGACAUAUAUACAUGAUAGUUUAUGCGACUCCAGUGAAAAUAGGAGCAUGUAUAGCACAUCUACCUGGUCGAGAUUUUGUACUGGCUCUGAAGAAUCAAUUGACUUUGGCAUAGCAGCCUUUACUAAAGUAGAAUAAUACGCCUUUUGGUUUAUCUUCUGAGACCUAUCUUUGCUAGGUUCUUCAACCUCAUCAAUAUAUGCCACUCGUAAUGAUGGGUAUCUGUAUAACAGUUCGCUCGUCAGCAGUGACUAAAAGGUUACAACCAUCAGCAACCCAGCAAACAUAUCUUCGUAACUUACGUUGUCAUGAGCCUUAGAAUGUCCUGUGCACGAUAAUCACCAGAUCGCUUCUGAAUCCCAUAAAGUUGGCACGAAACCACAUAUGUGAAUUUCAUAUCAGCUACUGCUUGACAUUGCGCCCAUAGUGACCUUCCCUCCUUUGAUUGAUCUUCUGAAUUCAACUCUAUUGCCUUGUAGCCUUCCAUUAAAUCUGGGAAGAUGUACAAAGCACAGUAGCAAAAGCAAUCAACAUUUACAGCUCACAUCAGAUAUACUAAAGUAGAAGUGCAGAAUAUAAAACCAAGUUGACACCAAUGAAAAAAGAUUUGUACCCUCAUCUUUGGCCAUAUCGAGAAAAGCCUGAAGCUCCAAAGCUUUCCGGUAGUACAUCAUUCCUCUAACUAGCAUUAUGAAAGAAGUUUUAUAAAUAUCUAUGCUGACAAAGGAUACCCUGCAGUCAUUCUAUGACAUAGAUUGAUCAGUUACCAGUACGAGUCAAAGUUUGGCCUCUAUAUGAUGCCCAUAGGCGAAGCUCUUCUUCCAAUUCAUCAGACCCUUUAAGUUCAUCUUCGCUGGAGCAAUUUACACGCAGAAGAAAGUUGGUCCAUUCAUCUAUUUGUUUUCCAAGCCAACAAGAAUCAGUAAAAACUUUUACCAAAAAUGCAAACCAACAAAAUAAGCAUCUAAUUCAGAGGUAGAAACAAUAACCUGGGAAAAUCUUUUGCAAAUAGAACAGAAUAGAAACACCAUCUUCAUUCGGACGUUCCAGCCCUUCAAUGGAAAAGAGAACCUCUUCGGUGUAGUAAGGAGUCAAAACACUACAAGAAAGGUUAUUGUUUCAGAAACAAGCAUUACUCAAAGUUCACACAAUCAAGCUCAAGGGUAAGAAAAGAAAAAUCCUCCUAUAUACUAUGAUAAAGACGACCAUAGAGAAGCUACAUAUCAAAUUUUAACCCAAGAAAAACCAGCAUACCAACUUAAGCAAGCUAAUCACCAUAAGACAAUUGCAUUUCACCACAAGCAAGAAUUACCAACUCUUAGGACACUAUUAUUUUGGAAAAUCGUAAAAUUCCAAAAUAUACCAGUCAGUUAUGAAUAUGGUAGCAACUGUGAAGUUUGAACAUGUUCAUAUUUGAAUUGAUCUAAUGUUGUUAUCUUGAAUUUGAUGUGCCUUGCUACUGUUCUGUUCGCUUAGGCUUUGUAUACUCUGUGUCAUGAUAUUAUUCUUGUAAUUGUUGCCUUUUUUCUAAUAAAUUUUCAGCUUCUUUUUUCCAAUAGAAAGAAAAAACCUUCUCUGAAAGAAAUGAAGAGAAUAGAGAAGCAAAAGCCAUGGACAAGAGUUUAAAGACUUUUGCAGACUCUGAAAGAAAUGACGAGAAUAGAGAAGCAGAAGCCCCAAGAGUUUAAAGACUUCUGCAGACUGAUUACCGCAUUAAAACUAGCUUAAUCACACCCAUCUAGCAAAAUCAAAUUAUCAACAACAAGAAUAAAAAAUCAGAAUAAUAAUCUUGUGCUCUAAGGACAGACUGCAAUAUGCACAAAACACAUCAAAGUGGAUUGCAAAAGAAAAUUUUUAGAUCAGAGAGCAUAUGAACUGAUGAAAGCUUACGAGAAAGAAAGCAUAUUCCGAACUUUUGGCGCUGGAGGCAUAUCCAUAAACAACGAAUUCGAGAAGAAAGAAAUUCGCCUUCUAGCUUCCAAGUUGGAUGGCACGUCCAUGGCAGACUCCUUUGUUGUCAGUAAUAGGUAAAGACGAUUAAUCUGCAGACAUAGGUAACCAAUAAGCAUUACAAGAUUUACCGAUGAUCAAUGUUUCUUUUAAUUAUCUCACUAGCCGUGGGAUACCUUCUCCUUCCAAGCCUCUGUCACUUGUGUAAGAGGAAACUUAAUAGCUCCAGCAGAUGCAAACAACUGAUGCUGUUGAUGUUGAUCGAGCGGUAUCAUCCCCUCAUGGCCUGACCCGCCAUGGACUGAAUCCACCAAGCUACACAAGAAAAAUAAAAGGUAACUAAGUAUCAACUCAAAAUGUUAACGAACAUGCGGAAGCAAUCAUAUCAUGAUAUUUCACCUGGAUAUAUGGUCCUCCAUCAUUAUGUCUCUCGUCACUACCUCCAGCAUGUCCUGGAAUAGAAUCACAACCUGAUCCCUGUCGUCCUGAUUAUUCUUUGACUGCGAAACUCAAACAAAUUUCAUUAGGACCAUCCAACAAAAUGACAGAUAUAUACGUUGUCCUCAACCAAAUAUUAAACUCUUACCAGAAAAUCUAUAAGCCUAACAAAGUGGUCAUAGAGGCUAGGAAGAGCACUCAUCUUGAAUUCACGGAUCAGGGUACCCUCUGCGAUGUGCUUGUCAACCUCGGAAAAUAUAUAUUCUAUAACCCUGAAAGCCAAAUCAGUUUAUAUUAGCAAAAUGCGAAAUUGAAGUUAUCCUUACUAGUUAAACAAUGUUGCACACAACCCAAACAGAACUUUGUUUUCUCCAUUUCUGAGAUUACAGUUCACAGAACAUACUCUUUCUCACGGUUCCCCUGAACCAGGAACUUAAUUAUGUUUCUAAAUGAAGCAUAGCAUUCACGAACAGCACAAUGCAUGUAUUCGUCAGCCAAGAUCCUUUUUGUUAGCUCUUUAUCCUUGCCAUUGCUGUCCUUGGCCAUGUCUAAUGCUAUCGGGAUCUGAUGAACAAUUACAGAAUGAAUAUACGCACAUCACGAUUUUAAUCUCAAAAUUUCAGAUGGUUAGUACGCUAAAACAUACUUUGCUAGCGAGUAAAAAUGGAGGCCACUGUAUGAGGUCCAAAUCACGAUCAGCCCAAUAAGGAACAAGCAAAAGGUUCAUUUCCCUGAAAACGAAAAAAGCUUACCAAAUAGUACAAUAACAAAGUGCGCAAUUCAAAAGUACAGAAGAAUGAAGUCAGACCACAUCAUUCAACUACUACUGAAAAUGGAAUCAAGAAUAUAUACUCCAAACCAUUGGCCGGUUAAGGUACCUAUUAUUUAUAAGAUCCUCCUCUCUGAAACUACUUAUUAUUUUGUUCCAUAACUGCGCAAACCUUGCAGCCUGUUUUUCUUUGCUACCUUCCACCUGUAAGGAUAGACCAACAAAUUAAACCACAAUAUGGAAAAGUAACAUACACACAAAUUCCCCAUACUGAAAGUAAUACUUUUACCUGACCAAAGGUGCGGGACAACGUAGCCUUCAGUCCUUUCUUCUUUGGCUCACUCUUGUCCACCGGAAUCAAACGAGCGUUAAAAGCACCAGGCAAUGAUUCAAAGCGAGAUCUCAGCAUUCCUAGUGUUCGAAUCUGAAACCAAUUUUGAAUGAAGAAUAAAUUCUACGAUGCUAUAAAGAUAAAACUUCAAGAUAUCCACAGAUAAAUUGUAUUCUUAUAUUGAAUAAUUUAUGAAGUUCAAAUAAUACAGGUUUCAGAGGAUAGCAUGUUGCUAGUUUUUAUGUUCGAUAUCUUAUGACAAAACUGCUAAAUUAAAUGAAUAGAGUAGAAGAACAGCUAGAUCAACUCACCUCACCAAGGCGACGGAAUGCCCCAUAAAUACCUCCAAAUAUUGUGGAAUAUAUUGCAUACCAGAUCUGGGUAUCCAUAAAAUAGACCUGCAAAAGUUCAUGUAUAAGAAUUAACACCAAGUUGGGCAGUUAGAUGGAUUAACAAGAAAACACUAGGUAAAGAUAACAAGAUAAAACAUACAAGGAUAAUUGGAGCCCAGAGUGCAAUCACAACACCGAUAUUGUUUUUUGCUGCAAAGAGAAUAAUGACAUAGUGAAUAGCAUGUUGAGUAACAAGUUAACAUUAACCACAAAGAAAGUUGGCUGCAUUACCACGGGGAAAGAACUCGUGCCACUGGAAGUUAGUUAUACGUACUUUCAUGAUGGCUUUUGUUGGACCUACUAAAGGCUUUAUCUGAAAAAAAAAAAAGAUAAGUGAUCAAAUAUGUAAAUGGACUGGAAAGCAGUACGGAAUAUUGACAUGAAAGACAGUAUGCCCAAAAUAAGAUGCUUGUUCCAAAUGAGCGGGCGGGCAGUGUUUCGUACUCCACCUCAGAUUGUGCAUAUCAUUAUUAUAUAUAAUUGUACCAAGUGAUAAGAUAACAACAAUGGUGUAUGAUUAGAAGAAACACCUCUAUAUAGUAACUGAAUGCCAACUUUGUAACUAUAAGAAGAACCCAAAACAUCGUGUACCUGAAGAUUAUCAAAAAAGAGAACAGAGGUCAUGUAGAGAACAAUGACAACAUUUAAAGCAGUGAUCUAACAUAUGUUUAGAGCAGUGGAUUCUUACUUGAAAAGGGAAAAUGUUCCCUCAUGCAUUCCCCUCCCAACAUAGAGCCGAGGCUGCAGAUAUUCACCAAUUCAGCAAAAAGUUAUGUAAUUUAAAUUUUAAAGAAAAAUCAAAAUAAAUAUACAAAUAAUAGAACCUGUUCCAUAUACCUGUGACCACCACAUCAUAAGCAUCACAAUCCUGUAGUUUGAUCGCUCAAGGAAUCGGCGGAUAAAUGGGAAAAGAAACAACACCCCAGCCAGCAUAUUCGGUGACAAGUAGAUAACAACAGCCAAGAUGAACAAGGAGGGCGAAUUUGAAUUAUUGCCAAACCAACCUUUAAUGGUUUGAGCGAACCCAGGAGGGUUUUCCCAAGUAUAUGCAUAUGUUACCGGUAGAAUUAUUACCCACGCAGCAGCUGAAAUGACCUUAGCAAUGUAUCUCAACUUAACAUGGAACGACAUACUCCGCCUAGACUUCCAGCUAAGAAUCACAUCUAGAACAGCUGCAAAUAUAAGUAGAACUAGCUAUCAACAAUUGCCACUUGGUACAAUUCAAAUUUCUGAUACAAUUCAGAAGUUGCACCAUCAUUGACCCAGUUAAAUAAAUUUUUGAUCGAUGUUAGAUAUCAAUAUUAUGGAUGUGGGCAUGUGCUAUAAUAUAAAAUGGAAUUUCUCAAUCCCCGAACUUAGAUACAUAGGAUAAAGAAAGGAAGGUCCUCAAGAGCCUGCUAGAGUGAAUAACACUCCACUCUUCUAAACCUAGCCUAUAAAUAACCAAUUUUUUUUAAGAAAGAAAACCGUUUAUGAAGGGCAGUGAUUCAAAGACCACUUCACACCUCUAAAUCCAUCUUCAAGUAUAUGAAUUAGGGUAUUACAUUAGAAAUGUUACACUUUACGACUCUAUAUUCUAUGAGAAUAUAGCAUAAUAAUAUAGAAAUAGUUCUUUAUAGCAAUAGAACUAUGAACAAAUAGGAUGGGUAGCGGGGUCCCAAAACCAGGUAAAUAUAGCAAUAGUUCUAUAUAGCAUAAUAAUCUGCUAUCGUACCCAACAUCACUCUUAGGUAAGGGAAUCAGAAGUAUGCGAUAGGCAGACUUUAACACUUAGAAAUGGAAAAUGAAACAAUAUUUCACAGGCAAAACCGCAUCAGUAAUUUUAAAGUACCUUGCCCAAGCUUCAAUAUUGCAGCAGUUAUGAAGACGCUCAAAGCUUUCUUGAAUACAUCGGCAGAAAAUAUUGACGUUGGUUGGCCCGAGCCAUUCCAAGCAACAAUUAUCAUAACCUUAUAUGGACAAAGGAGAAAGUAAAAGGCAAUUUUCAGACUCUGUAAGAGUUAAAGAUACAAAGAAUAUCACAAGGAAGAGACAGAACCUGUAAACAUAAAAUAAAGAAACUCCACAUGCGGUCAAAGCUUCUAAAGAUAUGCCAAAAUGACCGUAUCUCAACGAAGUUAACUUUCCCCACCCAUCGAUCUCCACCAGCUGGUUUGUGAUCCUGAAUAAGAUAUCCGCCAAUAGUGAAGCAUCAGUUGAGAAAUGUCCCACAAAUAGGAAAGUAGUAACAGCACAAUUUAGCUCUAGCAGAAUAAGUACGACUUCAUUAAAUAAACAAAGUAUUGCUUACCUCACUGCUUUUAUCAAAAUAGUGUUGCUCACUAGGCAUGCAAAAGAAAUCAGCAUCUGCACGCAUCGGCCAACCCAACCGGAAACAAUCCACUGACCUGCAGUACAUUACAGGAAUCAAAAUUGAAAAGACAAAAAAAACAAGGGAGGAAAAGGAAAAAAUAAUAUGUUUAUACCAAAAGUAUUCAUUUAUAUCAUCAUAGUUCCUCCACUGGGAAUGCUUUGAUUUCCCACGUUUGCUCCUCUCAGCUUCCUGUAACGAGAGGAGCCACAGCACAAUGAUGAGAUAUAGAUUAGCAGAAUAGCAACACUGAAUAUUUUUCAAAAAACAUAAAGCCAAAGGGGUUCGCACGCCUUCCGCAUGUUUAGCUGGGAAAGGCUGUACACGCCUAUGCCUCUGUUUUCAUAUAUGAUAUUUGGAGGCCUUAUCUUAGGACCAAGUCACCACUCUUAAAUUAAUUGACAACAAAGAGAAAAAAAAAACAAAAAAAACAAAAUACAUACAUACCUCAGCAAUCACUUUAUAAAUAGGAGUCACAACUUUCUUCAAGAACGCCUCUUCUUCACCUCCAUAUGCUGGCUUCACAUUUUCUCCUGUCAUUGGACUGACAUUCCCAGCUAACAUACCAUACAAUUCAAAUGCCAUCUACAAAAAGAAAUGAAAAAAAUUAAACACCCAAGCACUCUAGUAUUGUUAGAAUGUUAAUAAUCACAAGUUUAAAAGAAAAUAGAAAUGUUAAAAUUUUCAGCUCCUGAAAAUGUUAAAGCCUUGUUACUCGACAACACAAGAAUGCCAGAGGCACUUGGUCUCAUGCUACCCUAAUAAUGUGGAGGGGUCAAUGGGAAUUAUUAUUAUCAUUGACCUAUAAACAUAUUUCCGACGAGCACUCUUUCUCAAUCCAUUGUUAGGACUUAGGAACUUCAGACAGAUUAAUUACUAUUCCUCGAAAUAUUAGAAUGGUACCGAUAACCAGAUACAGGCAAGCCAACAUUGAUAAAGUCAGUUAUUUGAAUUUGGGUUCCAAUUUGCUUCAUGAAAGAAAUUUAACAAGCACACGAAACGACUAGCUAGAGAAUAAUGGUACUGUAACACGAAAAGAAAACAAAUGAAUUAGCCAUCUAAUUUGCUAAUGUCAGAUAAUCCUCUAUGACAAGCCGAUGAACCAACAUGAUGAACCACAACCUAACCUAUUUUAUCAAGUUGGCAUCUAGCUUUGGAAGACAAUAGUUGAAUACAUGCAGUUGAGCUUUCUUUGAUGGGGAAUCUUAAAGCACCCAACAAUCAACUUCCUCCUCCCCAACAAAACAAGAGAUUUAAAAGGUAUAAAUGUUCAAUGGACUCCACUUUCGCAUUUGCCAUAUACAAAGAUCCCUAUUCAAUCACCAUUGAAGCUUUUUUUUGAACACAUUGUCCAAAGGAAUAAAGGUAGGGAAGAAAGAUAGUAAAGUCGAGAUAGCUAAAAUGAUAGCAUAGUUGCAUCUGUAAAGACGAGAAAACCAUGAUAACUUACAUGAUGAUAUAUGUAACAAAGGCAUUCUGGCAUGAAUCUCAAAUUUGCAGCUUCACCCCAUAUCAAAAGAUAUAGACCCAUGUAUAGUAGCUUACGCUGUUGCACCUCUUGCUGUAUGGUCGGUAACCUGAGAUAACCACCACAAAAGCAUUAUAAAAAGUACAAUCUUAUCCUUUUUACACUGAAGUUUAGAUACAUUGACCUCAAAUUCUUUAAUCUCCUAAUUUUAAUCCAUCUCAAUAGAACUCUUUUCUUUACUUGUAUCUAUUUUGAAUAGCUAAAAGAUGCACAUAAUUAUGCUGUAACAUGCCCAAGUCCAACUAGACUAUAAAGUCCAAUUUGCAGUCAAGUAACAAGCUCAAAAUGUAACGAUGCAACUAGCUUGGCAGACAGUGACAUUUCUAAUAGACAUCUUACCAAAGGCUACUUUUCCGGCCCAAGUACUUGCACCACUUUUUGUAAUUCUUGAAAAGCUUCUUCAUCACUUCCGUCAGAGCACGGUCAUCCAACUAACAAAAAGUGAUCAUGAUUAUGGCAUUGCACAAAUAGCCAUUAAAAGUCUUGUAGAUUAGUCAAACAACAAAAUAAAUAACACUAGUUCAAGUCCAUUCCGACCAGGUAAUCAUAGCUGCACCAAGUAAGCAAGACCAGGUCUAACCUUAGGCUGUUGAUCAGGCUUUGGAAACUGCCUUAUGUGCACAUUUGCAAGUAAUAAUAUCAGGUGCUCCCGUUGAUUUGCCACGUUGUCCUUCUGAAAAUUUAUUACAGUAGUUCAUGAGCAUAUAUUAAGAGAACAAAUACAUUGUAAUCUGAUUCAAGAAAAAUAGUUUAAUACAGGCUUUCAAAGUAAAUAACAUAUGUUCAUUCACUCUAAUGUCUAAUUACAUCACCUGAAACCCAAACAUUGACUGCAGCCAAUCAAGAACAUCCUCGUCUUUUCUCUUUUUGUAUUCCUUGGGCCAAGGAAGACCCCUGGUGUUACGAAGAGCGAGAACAGCAGCUUGAAUCUGGAGAACAAUAGAAAGUUUCAGGAAAAUUAAAGCAGACAAUCUUCCUCAAAACAGAAACUGGUGGUACUUUUACUAUUUCCAAAAAAAAUAAUAAUAAUAAUAAGAAUAAUAAUACUCUACCUCUGGGUAUUUCAUAAUUGCUUGAUUUACACUAUCAGGAUCAAGUGGAAGGAUAUUGUAAGGAACCAAUAGCUCUGUCUUUUCCGCAACUUUACCAUGAGCUUCCAAAAUCUACAAGCAUCGAACAUAAUGUUCAUUGCCAAAUAGACAAGAAAAAAAUGGAUGCAGUAGGAUAGCAGUAUGAAAUAGCUAAAACAUAACAUGAACUUUCACCUCACGAUCAACUUCCAUAGAUUGUGUCAUAUUAACAGCCUUUAAAACCUCAAAUAGAACAUUGGCAGUCUGGUAGGCCUUGGUAAGUUGUGCACUGUAUAUAAAACAAAUUUAGCAUGACAAAAAGUAUAAGUAACCUUUCCAAAUUUAAGACCAAAGAAAACCAAUUAUCUCCUGCACCCACCGGUCAGCUUUAUCGGCCGCAUUUUGCAAAGCUUGAAUAUAUUUUUUGUAAUAGUGUUGAUAGAAGCUCUGCAUUUCACGUGCAUCACUUUUUUUCACCCUUCCCAUAAGGGUUGGAUCAUUCUCCUGAAAAAGAUUACAACUUGGCUUAGAGAACAAAAACCAAAAUCAAGGAACAACUUAAUUUAAUGAAGAUCUAAAGCAAGACAGUGUUUUGUCGCACAUAGAUGAUGCUUGUUUCCCUUUCUACUCUUUGUCAAAGGCAGAUGAGAACAACGUCAUGGACUUAUCCUUCU
rnacentral:lncRNA from 1 species